rnacentral:lncRNA from 1 species
AUAUCAAUUCAAAUCCCACCUCAAUUCAAACCCCACGUCACAUCCAAAUCUCAUAUCAUAUCCAAAUUUAAAUUCACAUCCAAAAAUCAAUCGAUUUUACACUUCGUUUUCAACAUCCAAACAUUGAAGAGCAAACAUCCAAACAUCAAACAUCGCUGUUACAAAUUUAAAUUCACAUCCAAACAUUCAUUUUACACUGCUGUCGUCGCCGUCGGCUCUCCGCCGCUGUCGCUGUCGAACCUCCUUUGCUGGGACUCCUUUGUUUUGCUUGGGGUUGGGGUUGGGGUUGGAGUGGACUCUCCUCCUCGUCGGAGGGCGUCGGCCGGCGAUGGCCGACCUCCCGCAGCCGCCAUGCCUCAUCUCGCUCCACAUGGCCUCCUGAGACCACGACGACGACCCACCCCCCAACCACACCUGCCUCCGGAUCCGCGGCCGCUAGGCGCACCUCGAGCUCAUCAUGCGCAUGGCCGCCGACCGACACGCCGAGCUCCACCGCCUCUCCCACCACCGUGCCGUCAGCCCGCACCCUCCCCGCGGCCCGGCGGCGGCGGAUCAGCGCCCGAGCUCCGCCACCCACGCCCGAGCUCGCCGCGGCCCGUGCCCGCACCAGCCCUCCCUGUCGCCCGUGCCAGAGCACGCCGCCACCCGCGCCUGUGGAUCUGGAUGGAGGGAGAGAGGGAGUGGAGGGAGGAGGAGAUAAGAUAAGGAUGGGUAGGUGGAGUUGAGGAUGGAGGAGAUAAAGAUAAGGAUGGGUAGGUGGAUUUUAAAUGUGACUUUUCAAGGGUCGUUGCGAUGCGGUCUUCGCCAGAUUUUUGUUGGUGGUAGGAUAAAAGGUCUGCCAUAAAAAUAGGGUUAUUUUUGCAAGCGGACUUCUUAAGGCGACUGCUAGCGAAGACCUGUUUACGCUGGCGGCCCGUGACCCCCCCCCCCCAAUUUUCUUCGCUAGCGGUUUUCUCUCAUUGCCGCCAUGAAAAUUUGUUUCCAAACGCCAUGAAAAACCGUUUUUCUAGUAGUGGAAAAUGUUUAUAAAAUAUUCAUGUGAUAUAAUAUACAAAAUGUGCAAGCUCAAGCUGUUUUUUGAAAUAUGUACCUGAAAAUCUAUUGUAAUUAUAAGACUUUCUUUGAAAUCACCAUGAUGAUUCUUAAAGAAAAUUUUUCUAUGAUCUGCGAAUUAAAAUAAUGAAUGAUACAGUGUUAGUUGAAAUUUUAGGACAAUCAAACUUUUGAAUAGAGAUAAAGUCUCAUAAGUAUUUUUUUUAUCUCAAACGUGCUCUUUAUUAACUCAUUUGCUCGGUACGAUCACGAGAUACCAGCACAUUUACAAAUUCUGGGAGGGGUCCGCCCAAACAGAUAGCUGACCCGGGUCCCAACCCACACUAAGACGGACAAUGUCAUGAGCACACCUAUUACAUGAACUCUAUUUGGAGCAGAGCUCUGAUUUGCUUGAAAAUCACACCGCCCGGAGAACAAUCAAAGUCACAUGAUGUCAAGGCACCCACCAGUGCAGAACAAUCAGUCUCAAUAGCAAAGUGAGAGAUGCCAUGGAGUGAAGUGAUCCGAAGAGCACUCAGACAAGCUUCAGCCUCAGCAUUCAUAGCAUCAUGAACUGACCCGAUUCUUCCUGCACCCGCCAGCACUCCACUUCCUUCAUGGUCCCGAAUCACGAAACCCCAAGCACUUGUUUUAUCAGUUUCAAAAAAGGCACCAUCAACGCUUCAGCUCACCCAAAGGAGGAGGUUCCCAGGACUUUUGCACUCGGGGGAUCUCCGGUUUGUUUCAUCAGGGAAAUUUCUGCAACCAUCCUUUAUACUCUGAAAAUUACUUCCUCCGGCGCUCUUCUUUCCUCCUCAGCAUUCACCUUAUUUCAAGCAUCCCACCAGUUCCAGAGUAAGAACACUUUAGUCUGUCUGGUUUUCUCCCCCACUUUCAGGAUGUGUUUGCAAACUUCCGAAGCUGACACACACUGAAGAAGUUCUAGCCGGGUGUCCUCCAAAUCUAGCAUUCUCCAACAAUGCUUCACAAAAUUGCAUUUCAGAAAACAAUGACCUUCAUCCUCAUCCAUCCAAAGACAGACAGGACAUCUAGUAUCCACCUCCAAACCCCUUCUGUCGAUAUUCAGUCUCAAAGGCAGGCUGUUAUGAGCUAGGCGCCAGAGGAAAUGUUUCACCUUUGGUGGGUAAUGCAGGCUCCAAAUUCUUCCCCAUUCUAAUUUAGCUACCCCAGAGCUGACAGAUGAAGAUUCUCCCACCUGUCUUAAUGAAAGGCGUUCACGCUGAUCUUCUAGGGUGUGGUAUGCAGACUUAACCGAGAAUCGACCUCUAGGAUCAAAAUGCCAAGCCGCGGUGUCCUCAAAUCCAAGUCGCACUGGAAUAGCAAGAAUGUUGCGCACAUCUUCUUCCCAGAAAAUAUCCUCAACAAACUUUCUAUCCCAACCUCCUGUUGACGGAUCGAUCAAGUCUGCCACCUUGUUGAGCACCACUCUGUUAGCAAUGAAAUUUGGUAAGUCCUAAAGUCAUCAUCGGCUGAAAUUAGUAUUGGCUUCGGAGUUCUCGAAUCAGCCGAUUGGAGUCAUCAAAUCGCCAGCAACCAUGUUUCCGAUGGAGUCAGAUCAACUAAAAGGAAUUUAUCUAGAAGAGUCUGAGUCCAAAGAGGAUGCGGCAUGGUAAGUUAUCUAUUAAUUAGGCAUAGUUUAGUUUCCUUUUAUCUUUAAGAAAGUGUGUUUAGUGUCCGAUUAGGACUUUAUGUUUUCUUUUUAUCUUUAGAAAAGUUUCUUUCUUGUCUUACAAGGACUAGUAUUUACCCAUGGGUAUAAAUAUGUACACCUAGGGUCAUUGUAAUCAAUCUCAUCGAUCAAUACAACUACUCUCGGCGCAUCGCCACCCUCUUUACCGAGGUUUUUACUUAUCUACCAGCGGAAUUUGGGCACCUGACGUGGGGCUGCAUCGGUUCAGUUCGAUCUCCGACGAAGGGGUAAGUCCUAUGUUCCGUCGGGUCCUAGUGAAUCUGUCAUCUACGUCGGCAUCGUUCAAGGCUGCAUCAGUACAUUCGACCUCUUGGAUUGCUCUGGUUUGGAUGAUAUAUUUGCCUACUUAUUUAUGAUAUGCCUCUGUUAAUCUAAUCUUAGCAUAUCAAUUUAGCUCUAUCGGCUGCUUCUCGAUUUAGGGUUUAUCCCGGUAUCGGCUAAAUCGUGUUGCUAGAUUAGAUUAGCUUAGGCAUCUACCACCCUGAAAAUCAGUCAAGGGCUUGAUUGUCUAGAUAUUGUGUUUCUUUUCAUACUUAGUGCUGCAUCAGUUAAGUUUGAUCUACUAAGUCGUGCUUAGAACCAUAAUCUCUAGCCUGCUUGUUGACUGCCAAUAAGGGUUUCAUCGGGGUUUCAGCCGAUGGAUUAUGUGGACGUUGCAUCGGCUUAUAAGGAUUAUACAUAUAAGUUGGAUAUAGCCGAUGACAACAAAUGUUUCACUGUUUAAUAUAAUCUUAUGGACUUUAUGACAUCGGAUCUCCAGCCGAUGUAUGCUUUAACCUUCGGAUUAAUGCUUAUUCUAUCAUAUCACAUUGUUAGCCGAUUAGUUUAUAUUGGAUAUUAUUGUUAUUUUAUUACAUCAUCAUCAGCCGAUUGCCUUUAUAUCAUCAUCUACAUUGGACAUAUAGCCGAUUGCUUAAACCCUAUCGCUGUCGGCUGGUAUCGGUAUCGGCUAUUAUCGGCUAUCGGCUGGAGUUACUCCAUUGGCUUGUCAGCCGAUUGGCUCAUUGAUCUACCGUUUACAUAUCUUGUCAGUUGCAGGAUCAAAUUGACUGGCACGCCCGCAUCUCAUCAACCUUUGGACCUUCACAGGAGCUAAGCAGAUCUCCUAGACCGGUGUGUUCGAUUUUUUUCGUCAACACACUCCCAUCCUCAGAGUGACCGGUCUCAGCUGGGAUCCAUGGAUCCUUCCAAAUGUCAAUCCGAGAACCAUCACCCACUUGCCAAAUCAAACCUGAACUAAGUGCCUUGACGCCUCGAACGAUGCUUCUCCAUGAAUAGGAAAUUCCCGGCCCUUCCUCCACCUCCUCAGAUUCCCAUUAGCAAAGUACUUUGCAUGCAACACCCUCGCACAUAGUGAGUCCGGGAAUGACAACAGGCGCCAGGCCUGUUGGGCAUGUAUAGCUAAGUAAACAGGUGAACAUCUCUAUACCCCAACCCUCCUUGUGGGUAUCGGGGUCCCGUCACAGGAGUCGCUCCCUGUGGGAUCGGCUUGGGCGUCGGUCCUCAAGCUGCAGCAGAGAACCAGAGAGAGUUGACGGCCGGCGUCAGGGCAAUGAAGACAGGGGGCGUCCACGCAACCGGGAACGCUCGGGUCCUCGAAGCAGAAGCGGUCGGUCCAGAGAGCCAAGUGAGGUUAGACCACCCUUUCCCUCUUCUUCUGCCCCUCAAUUUGGAGUUGGCACAGAUCUUCGUUCUUCUUCCUCUCCCUCUCAGUCUGCUUCCCCCUGCAAGCAUCCAAGCUCCCGCCGCCAUCCGAGCCCGAAUGGGGGCGAAGCUGCAACUCCCUCUGCCAGCCUAGUUGUCCAAGAUCAAGCUAUUCUUCAGGCUGACUCAUGCUUCUGUUCGCAGGGGCAGGGAGAUGUCCUCUCCGUUUUGGAGAGUCAUCUUGACCCAAUGUUGCAUGAGGCGUCCGUGCAGCAUUCCAUCUACUCACCAGACAAUGCUUCUCCCCGAGCGGCUUCUCCUGUUUUUGUACUUUCUUCUUUUGCAGAACAGGGGACUCCGCAUUCCAAUGGGGUGGCGACGGAUGUGCAGACUCAAGCAGGGCCGAUGGCGAGGCAGGGCAACAGGGUGGAAGAGUUCUUCUCUGCUCUCUCGACUCCUCUUCAGCAGCCGCUGCUACCUGCUCCCGACGUCAAUGUUUGUCGUCCAAGCCGUGCUAAGGUGACAAUUCCUGCCAUCUCCUCGGCGCAAUGCCACAGUGAGCGCCUCCUUUGCAAGAAGCGGGCGGGAGCAAAACCUGAAACUCUUGCUCAAGAAAUCCUGUCAAAUAAGUUUGGCAUUUUGGAUGAUCAUGCUUCCUUUGAUGAUAACAUCAAAAAGAUUUAUUUGCAGCGCUACAAGAAGCCUCUCUCUCCAUCCUCCUUGAAGACAAUCGCUGAGCUCGUGGAGAAGGGGGAUGCAAGACCAUCCGUCUGAAGGCUGCAAAGAAGAAGGCGGCGGUCACGCCCCUGUGAGCAGAACGCCCCAGGAUGAAGAUGGGCUGCACAACAACCAUGAAGAGCCUUUUGUGCUUGACCUACUUCUGCCUGUUGCUUGCUGUGUUAAAGCAGAGUUGUAGCAUCAUCUUUUGCCUGUGUUUCUUCCAGUGUGGCUGGUUGUGUUUCGGCAAAAGCUUUGUUCCUUUCCCCAUCAACCAAAGAUGUAGUUGCAGCAGCUCAUGUUUCAAUGUCACAAGACAAUGUCUACCUGUUUAAUUGGAAUGUUAGGGGCCUGAAUUCAAAGGCGAAGCAAGACGCCGUGAAAAUUAUUUUGCAACAAUAUGGUGCUACUAUUGUUUGUCUCCAAGAAACUAAGAUUGCCUCUUUAAAUGAUCGUGUUGUUCUCAACAGUUUGGGCCAAAAUUUUAUGCGGCAAUAUGUGGCCCUUCCGGCGGAUGGCACCAAGGGUGGUCUGUUGUUAGCUUGCAAUGAGAAUUUCUUUUCUCUUUCUGAUGUUGUCCUUGGACAAUACUCUUUGUCUGCAACUGUGACCAUGCGAGAAGAGGGGCUACAGUGGUCAAUCACAGUUGUGUAUGGGCCUCAACUAGAAGCUGAUAAAGUGGUUUUUCUCUCGGAGAUAGAGAGCCUGCAGCCCUCCAUGAAAUCUGAAUGGCUGAUCAUCGGAGAUUUUAAUCUCAUCUAUAGAGCAUCUGACAAAAACAGUGAUCGUCUAAAUAGACGAAUGAUGCAGCGCUUUCGGGGUCUGCUAGACAAAAUUCAGGUUAAGGAGCUUCAACUCCCUGUUCGUCGUUUUACUUGGGCAGGGGAAGGCGCAAACCCUACUCAAACCAAGAUCGACCGCUCUUUUGUCACGACUGACUGGGAUUUGAUGUUUGAGAGUUCCAAUUUGUAUCUUUUGUCUUCAGCAUGUUCAGAUCAUGCGCCUCUCUUUCUGGUAGGAAAUGAGCAAAGAUCGAAAUUCCCAAGCUUCAGAUUUGAAUCUUUUUGGCUCAAAAUUCCUGGGUUCUUGGAAGCGGUGCAAGACUCAUGGCAACGGCCGAUCCUUGCCACUAAUUGCCUAGCUAUUUUCCGCAUCAAACUACGAUGUCUCGCUCGAGAUUUAAAGAGAUGGAGUCGGAGUCAAGUGGGUGAUAUUAAGUUACAACUUGCGGUUGCAUCUAAAGUGGUCUUUCAGCUGGACAUAGCUCAGGAAACUAGGACUUUGUCAGAUGAUGAGCGCCUCCUGGUGUCUAACCUCAAAAAUAGGAUUCUGGCUUUAUCAGUUCUAAACAAAAUCCAGAUCAGACAACGCUCUAGGCAAACCUGGCUCAAAGAGGGAGAUGUUAAUUCAAAUUUUUUUCACAUCAAGGCCAAUUCCAGAAGAAGAAAAAACUAUAUUCAAUCCCUGCACACGCCAUCUGGGAUUGCAAUUUCAGCACAAGACAAAGAAGAGGAACUGCUGCGUUUCUUCAAGGAAAGAAUCGGAUCUCGUUUUCAAAGAACGUCAGGGAUUAACUGGAAUAUGAUGGAUUUGCCCUCCCUUGACCUUGGCGAUUUAGAAGAAGACAUCACAGAAGAAGAACUGAAGAAAACUGUUUUCUCAAUGCCACCCGAGAAGGCUCCGGGGCCGGAUGGGUUCAUUGGUGCAUUCUUCAAAUCAGCGUGGGAGAUCAUUAACGAAGAUCUGUUAUCGACAGUAAGAUCGUUUUUUGAUCUUAACACUUUGCAGAUAAAGGAUCUAAACUCAGCCUUCAUUUGUCUUCUUCCCAAAAAAGAAGAUGCUUUGGGAGCUGAACAUUAUCGACCGAUAAGCCUAAUCCAUAGUUUCUCUAAGAUAAUUUCCAAAAUUUUGGCAAACAGGCUAGCGCCAAGACUGUGCGAGCUUGUCUCCACCAACCAGAGUGCCUUCGUUCGGAAAAGGGCUAUCCACGAUAAUUUCGUCUUCGUCAAAAACAUGGUACAAUAUUUACAUAGAACGAAGAAAACGAGUCUGUUUAUCAAAAUUGAUAUUGCCAAAGCUUUUGACACGGUUUGUUGGCCCUACCUUCUUGAAGUUCUUCGUCAGUUUGGAUUUGGAAUCCGUUGGCUUAACUGGAUUUCCAAUUUACUUGCAACCUCUUCCUCCCAAAUGCUUCUCAAUGGAUCUUCGGGGCAAUCAAUAAACCAUGUCCGAGGCCUUAGACAAGGGGAUCCGCUCUCGCCGAUGUUGUUUAUCCUAGCAAUGGAACCUUUUCACCGAAUUAUUAAGGCGGUUGAAAAUGCAUCACUUCUCUUUCCGAUGGGUGGGAGUUUUGACAGAUUCAGGUGCUCCUUGUAUGUAGACGACGUGGCAGUUUUUGUGAAGCCUCAGGCUUCAGACUUAUCGGUGCUUAUGAGGCUCCUAACUUUCUUUGCGCAAACCUCUGGCCUUCACACAAACAUCAGUAAGACAGAGAUCUACCCGAUCAGAUGUGAAAACAUCAACCUCGUAUCUCUUCUUGCAAAUUUCCCUGGAAUGGUAAAGCAAUUCCCUUGUCGCUACCUUGGCCUGCCUCUCCAUAUCCGAAAGCUAAGGAAAAUUGACUUCCUGCCGCUAAUCGAAAAAAUUGGCUCGCGAAUUCCCGGCUGGAAAGGGAGGUUCUUUACUUCGGCCGGAACAAAAACUCAGGUCCAAUCGAUCCUAAGCUCUAUGCCAAUUCAUCACUUCACCGCAUUGCAAGUGCCCAAAUGGGUGAUAAAAAGAAUUGAUCGCUUUAGGAGAUCUUUUCUUUGUAAAGGAGAAGACCCUGACAAAACCAAUCCAGGCAGCAGUUUAGUCAAUUGGCAGACGGUGUGUAAGCCAAAAAUUUUGGGUGGAUUGGGCAUUUUGGAUUUAGAGAGGUUUUCGCGAGCCCUUCGUCUUCGUUGGCUUUGGCUUGGUUGGAAGGAUGAAAACAAACCAUGGGCUGGCAUGAGCGUUCCCUGUGAUGAUACAGAUAAAAGGUUGUUUCAGGCAGCAACGACAAUUGAGCUAGGUAAUGGCACAAAAACAAGCUUUUGGCAUGACAAUUGGCUACGAAACAACUGCCCAAAAGACAUUGCACCACUGUGUUUCAAGUUGGCAAAAAGAAAGCAAAAAAGCGUCCAACAAGAGCUCCAUAACAAUAACUGGUUGAUCUCUUUCAGGCAAAUAACAUCAGUAGAAGAAAUCCACGAACUUGUUCACCUUGGGAGCAUGCUUCAGGGAGUCCUGCUUAUCCCGCGUCCUGAUGACAUCUCUUGGAACUGGAAUGAAUCCAAAGUUUACACAAGUAAGAGUGCUUAUCUUUUCCAAUAUCAAGGAACUUUUGUUUCCUUAGAUUUCUCUUCGCUCUGGAAGGCGCCGGCUGAGCCGAAACUUCAAUUUUUUGGCUGGCUAGUCCUCCACCAGAAAACUCUUACAGCUCAAAACUUGUUGAGAAGACACUGGCCAUGCAAUUGGAUUUGUAGUUUAUGCACAAGCGCCUUUGAAGACACUAAUCAUUUGUUUAGUGAAUGCUCCUUCUUCAAGGAAGUUUGGUCUCUAGUUACUUCCUGGCAACAUUUACCUACAAACAAUGUUGGCCUCUCUAUCGGAACCUCUGAUUGGUGGGCCCAAAUUGAUUGUGUGCGAUCGAAGGAGCAAAAGAAGGCGAUGAGAGGAGCUCUGCUUACCACUUGGUGGAAUGUUUGGUUAGAAAGAAACAGGAGAAUUUUCAACAACAUUUCAACCUCAGAGAGAGCAGUGGCAUAUAUAGUAAAACAAGAUCUUGAUCUCCGUCGCACGGCUUUUAGGCCUCCAUAGUUUUCUUUUGUUUCGUGUCGUGUCGUGUUUUGUUGUUCUGUUUUCUUUUUAUUUUCGGGACUGAACUUGUUUUGUUCUGUUUUUCCUUCUAAUUAAAUUCCGGCAGAUCUCCUGCCGUCGUUCUCCUAAAAAAAAACCCUCCUUUCUCCUUUCUGCUGCAUAGAUGCUCCCAAGCAAUCCAAUGCAUUUUAUUCUCCCGUUCCUGUUGGGCCCAAAAGAAACGACAGAUGAGUGAAGUAAUUUCGUCGCAUAGCCCUUUGGUUAGGUUAAAACAUGACAUAGCAAAAGCCGGGAUUGCCUGCGCUACAGCUUUAAUAAGAACAUCCUUUCCCGCCCGUGACAGAAGUUUCUCCUUCCAACCCUGAAUUUUCUUCCAAACCCUCUCCUUCAGGUAGCUGGAAGUCUUUGCUUUUGAUCUGCCCAUAUACACCGGUAAGCCGAGAUAUUUUUCAUUCCAAGCCCCCACUCCUAUAUCCAACGCACCCAUGAAAAUCUGUUUAUUAACCUCCUUUAUAUUUCUGCUGAACAUAAUCGACGAUUUCUCCUUGUUUAUUGUUUCCCCCGAGCAUCUUUCGUACAAUGAUAAAACAUUCUGCAGACAAGCCGCACUCCCUUCAUCAGUUUUUAGGAGCAGCAAAGAAUCGUCCGCAAACAACAGGUGAUUGAUACUCGGUGCAUUCUGGCAAACUUUAAUUACCGAAAGAUCUCCUCUUUCUUCUGCUGCGUUCAGAAGAGUUGAAAAACCCUCAGCACAUAUGAAGAAGAGAUACGGUGAAAUGGGAUCUCCCUGACGUAAACCUCCUGUCGGAUUGAUCUGUUCAGUGAACUCCCCAUUCACCUUUAUACGGUAGGUCACCGAUGUGACACACUUCAUCACAAUAAAUACCCAAUUCCUGUCAAAACCCAGCUUCAACAUCAUCUUUUCCAAAAAUCCCCACUCCACCCUAUCAUAGGCUUUACUCAUACCCUGCUUUACUGCGGCAAAACCAACAGAUCCCCUUCUUUUUGUUUUCAGGAAGUGUGUUAACUCAUAGGCCAGCAAAAUAUUGUCCGUUAUCAUCCGCUGUGGUACAAAAGCAAUUUGGAUUGGGGAGAUAAUUUCUGAGAGCAGGGGUUUCAGACGAUUAGCUAGAACCUUUGAAGCGAUUUUAUAAACAACAUUGCACAAACUGAUUGGCCUGAGAUCUUUUAUGCGUUCUGGAUUGGGAACCUUUGGUAUCAGCACAACCACAGUAUCAUUCCAGCUAUCCGGCAUUUCCCCACCACCUAAGAAAUCUUUAACUUCAUGCACAAUAUCAUCCCCCACACAUUCCCAAAAUUGUUUAUAGAAGAGGGCAGGCAUACCGUCUGAACCAGGAGGAGCUUUCAGGUCCCCAAUACUGUCCAGAGCUUUCUUUAUUUCCUCCGUCGUCACCCCUUUCAUCAGUUCAUCAUUCAUAGUAGACGUUACUCUCUUUGGCACAUUCUGGAGAAGCUCAUCUAAGUUCAACGGCACCCCGGCAGUAAACAGUUGUUUAUAGAACUCCGAGAUCAGAGACAGAGAACCCGCCUCAUCUGUGAUCACCUCCCCAUCAUCCCUCCUUAACUUCUUAAUUUUAUUUCUUUUCUUUCUCUCAGAAGCACAUUCAUGAAAAAAUUUUGUAUUUCUAUCACCCUUUUCCAACCAAUGUUGGUUGGCUCUCUGCCGCCAAUAUAAUUCCCUCUGUUCCUCCAAUUUAUCCAGCCUGUAUUUCAACACCGCUUCCCGCGAAGCCGUACUGCUACUGAUUGGAGAACGUCUGUGGGCUUCUAGAGCCUGUUUAGCCUUCUUGAUGCGUUUCUCUAGGUCCCCCAGGAAAUUUUUGCUCCAAUCCCACAAAUUAGCAGCCACUUCCCUGAUAGCGUCCAUAACCUUGCCCCCUCUAGGGCCCACUGACAACUUCCAUGCAUUCUCAACUAUGGGAGCGCAGUGUUCCUCCCUCGCCCAUCCUGCCUCAAACCGGAACCCAGGUUUUGAUCUGCCGCCAUUCCAUAUAACUUCAUUAGAUGUUGUCACAAUGACUGGGUGAUGGUCAGAGUGCCUUGGAUCACCCUUCCUAACUCGGAAACUAGGAAAACGACAACACCAAUCAGAAUCGGCCACCGCCCUAUCCAGCCGUUCCCGAAUGUAACCAUCCCGAACACACCAAUUAUUCCUCCAGGUGAAAGGAUCACCCGUGAAUCCCAGGUUCGACAAGCUACAGCAAUCCAGCGUCUGACGGAAACGAUCCAUGCAACUCUGGGCCUUAGCGUGACCUCUUUCCUUCUCCCAACUGAAAAGGACUUCAUUGAAAUCACCCACACACAACCACAGCUCCCCUUUCGUUGCAUUUAGCGUCCGGAGAGCUUUCCACGUGAGAUCCUUUUUGUCUGACCUCGGUUCACCAUACACCCCCGUAAACCUCCACCAGAAACCAUCAUCUUCCAUCACAUCCACAUCCAUGAACAGUCGAGACACUGUUCGUAGCCGCAAAUUUAUUUCCUUUUUCCAAAAGACUGCCAAACCACCACUCUUCCCCUGGCAAUCCUUCACCACCAGAUUCGGCAUUCCCAAUUUCCACCGAAAACAUUGGAGUUUAUUCGUAUCCAUCUUUGUGUUAGACAAAAAUAGAAUAUCGGGGUCAUCCUCCUUCUGAAGAUUCAGAAGGCCACGAACCGUCGGGCCGUUCCCCAACCCCCGGCAGUUCCACGCUAUGAUCUUCAUUGGGUAUUUGUUAAUGCAAAAACACGAGGCCUGGGAGAUCUGCUUAACUCCUGUGCAGGUCCAAAGCUUGUCUUGAGGUUCGUGAGCAUGCCAAUUGAUUUGAUCCUGCAAUCAACAAGAAGGAUAGACAAAAGAAACCGCGGUUAAAUCCAUAAACGAUAGCCGAUCGGCUAAUUGCCGAUGACGUAUCAUUUAUCUUUGAGCCGAUGUCAUCUUUACAUCGAUCGGCUUAGCUAGGAGUGAAAUAAGAAUAAAGCUAAAUUUAUCUGAUCGGCUGUAGGUAUCAACGGUUUGUAAUCCUUAUGUCGAUAUAUAUUUAAAUCAAGUGAUUGGGAUAGAUCGGUCGCCGUGCCGAGACAGUAUAAAUCACUUAGAUCGAAAUAUAUAUUAACGAGAAGAUUGCAAAUGUUCAUAACAUAGCCGAUCAAAGAGAUCUAGCAUGUACCGGCUAAUACUCCGAUACCACUCUAUACUAGGAUAUCAAUGCAAGUGAAAUAUAUUAAACAAGAAGUCUAAUACAUCUAAAAGCAACCAAGAUCUUAAUAUAAAGGACAUAUCUAGCAUAUCAUUAAGCACGUAAAACAUAAAGCUAAAUCAGGUAAGAUCGGCUGAAACUCCGAUGCUACUCUAAUUGGCAUCCAAAGACAGGCUAGAGCUUGAGAUUCUAAUCAUGACUUAUAAGGUCAAACUCAACUGAUGCAGCUAUAAGUAUGAAAAGAAGAACAAUAUCUAGACAAUCAAGUCGUUGGAUGAUUCAUAGAGUGGUGGAUAUUCUAUAUAAUCUAUGUCAACGUUGAAACCUAACAUGAUCGGCUGUCUCCUAGCGACAGGUGUUAGCCGAUUGAAAGCUAGAUAACAAUAUUGCCAAAGAUUAUAUAUAAUAUAUGAUAACUCGACAACUUACAUAAAUCAGAUUAGAGUAUCAUAAUGAUGGAAGCACUAAUCCCGAUAACGCAAGCCGCCAUAACAAGUUUUACCUCUAGUUGAAGAUUGAAACCGAUGCAGCUCAACCCGAAAGCAAGAACUCGUCGAAAGUAAACGAAAGCAAAAGGUGGCGAUGCGCUGAGAUUGUAUUUGAACAUGUGUUAUCGAUUACAUAGGUCUCAGGGUCUAUUUAUACCUGAGAUUACAAAGCAUGUCCUUGUCGGACACGACUCUUAUCCCUAACAAACUCUAAAAUACCAUAAGUCUUUGCGGCAGACUUUUGCCUACACUUAUCUCUAAGGAAAUUACAUAAAAUAUCCUAAUUAAUAGAUACAAUUGCCUCAUCAGGACUCAAUCCGUGUGCGGCAAUUCAGAUGAAGUACUUUGAUUCAACCCGAUGACCCACACCGAGUCAUAUUGUCGUAAUCGGCUCAAUUGGCUAACCUCGUCCGACUCUGAUUUUGUCAAUCGAGGUUGCAGCUGAUUCGGACUUAGCCGAUUCUUGCUCUGUUUCCGAAACGAUCUUGGCCUUGGACUCCGCUUCGAUCCGAUCCUCAUCUCCGAUACUUAGAUUACCAAAUUUGGUUGUUAACAGUAAUGCAGGACUGGUCUGCCAGUCCCGCUAAAUUUGUAGGCAUCCUGUUCUUCUCAGAUUCCACCGUCACUUCCUUCACCUUCUUCGACUGAUCCACCUCCAUGCAUUGAACAUCAUCAAUCUUCCUCUUCUUCUCCUGUGUUUGGGUUAGGGACAUGACUCCCGAUUUCAGCUCAGAACACGACAUUCUCUUGAACUUCUUAACAGACUUGUCCCAAUUUUCUCCAAUAGUCACCUCCUUCCCCCCAUCCACGGACUUAACAGGAAGAUCAACAUGCACAUUCUGCUUAGUAGACAUUGGCAUGACCUGGGUCCUGCCACCCCCCCUUGCCCGACAAAACAACUCCCUUCCCACUAGCAUUAGCGUCCACGUGAUCACUCUGCAUAGCUUACAUGGUACUGUUUUACCCCACUGCUCCUAUACUAGCAUCUUCCUCUUCCCUCGCAAUUUUCCUCACCUCCUCAAUCACCGCCUCUCUAAAGAGAGCCUUCUUGGAAUUGUGUGUAAGAGCCUCGGACGCCUUGAGUUUUAACGGGCUCUGGACCUCCGCCUCCUCACCAGCCAUCUUCUCCUUCUCCUUCUCGCCUGCACUUCCUAUCGAGAGCUUCCGCCAUGAUGGGCCAUCGCUGCGAGAUUUCUCCCCACUUCCCCUACUACCAGAACUUCCACCCGGUCCUCGCCCAGCCGAAAAGUUACUCCUCCAUUGGCCACUACCCCGUGACUCAGAGAACUUGCCACCCGAUAAAGCAUCAUUUCUUCUCUUCUGAGGGAUGAUUCUAAGAUCUUUCCCGUAUGGUUGCUUCUCAUCCUUCCCCAACACAACAUCACAAAAUUUCUCUGUAUGCCAAAUUAUACCACAAAUGUAAUAAAAGUCAUGCAAGAAUUCAUAUUAUAUGGGACACCACCUCUCCUCCUCCUUCUUGCCCACUAGAACCGUAACACUUCUCAUCAAAGGUUUACGGAUAUCAAGCUGAAUCUUUACUCUCAAAAAUCUACUCGACAUUGGAUCACUAUCCUCCAGGUCCACCUCCAUGACUUCACCAAUUUCCCCUCCAAGCGCCUCCCCCACCAUCCUGUUCAUCAUCCCUCAGGGAGGUUUGUGAUCCGCACCUAGAUCGGGAUGAAAGAAAAGUCUAUCUCAUCCAAGGAUUUUGAACCAUCAAAAUCAGCCAUCACCAGUAGAUCUCUAGAAAGCAUCCAUGGACCCUCAUUCAAAGCCUUCUUCUUACCCAAAGCCUGGUGAAAGGUGAACAUAAAGUGAUUAUCACCCCAAUCUGUGCAUUCAAUACCCUUGAUUGGACACCAGAUCUUCCCUAGGGUUUGCACAAAAGCCUCCACAAGAGCCGGUUUCUUUGAGAGGAGUCUACCGACUGUGCGAUGAUCCAUCCCAUCCUUCAACUUGUCUUCCUCCACCUCCUUGAUCUUGACCCCCUUCUUCUCCGUUGCCGACAGCUUGAGUUUCUCCAUCAACCCUUCAACCUUCUCCAUCACAGCACCGAAAGCCAAGGAAACCGCAUAACCAAAACAUGCUAGCAGAUCUAGGGUUUUACCGGCUGCAAAACUGCAGUGAUAUGGUGGACACCAGAUGGCACGGGAUUGGUUGAGGCGACCUAGAAGAUGGGAAGGAAAAUGAGAGGGGAUUGGAGACCGAAAAUACGAGGAGAUUGGAUGGGUGACGAACCCUAGACGACCGACAUGAGACUAUCCUCGAGUCGCCUAGGAAACCCUAGAUGCCAAGACCUCAUAACUAUUACUAUUGAAGCAUAUCUUGAAGGUCUUGGUAGUCUUUUGGGUCUUUCCUCAAUGAAUAAAAUAUAAGGAUGUUGCUCAAGUCAAUCAUUAUUAUAAGAAGAAUCUAGUGGAAACUGUGUACAUCAUUGCCCAAAUUUAAACUAAAUACUCCCUUCGUUUCUAAAUAUUUGAUGCCGUUGACUUUUAGUACAUGUUUGACCGUUCGUCUUAUUCAAAAAACUUUUGUGAAAUAUGUAAAACUAUAUGUAUACAUGAAAAUAUAUUUAACAACAAAUCAAAUGAUAGGAAAAGAAUUAAUAAUUAUUUAAAUUUUUUGAAUAAGACGAACGGUUAUAUAUGUUUAAAAAAGUUAACUGCGUCAAAUAUUUAGAAACGGAGGAAGUAUCAUUAAUGAGGUCAAUUAGGAAAAUGAAAAUUAACCAACAUAGAUGGUAACAACCUAUGCCCCCAGGACCUGAGGUUGGGACCCCGUACGGGAAAUUGAUGAAUGCUAUUACCAAAUACAGUUGUCUAUAAUAUGUAACUAUUCUUUAUAACAUAUUUAUAAAUAUAAUACGAGAAUGCUCGGUGCCUGGCGUCCGAUGCCGCGUGCUUGCAUCGGACGCUCCUGCCGCGCAGGGCCCCCACGCCUAUGCUGCCCACGUGCGCCUGUGCUGCCCACGCCUCUGCGCUGCUCCCUCCACGUGUCCCCACCAUACACGCCGUUGCAACAAAUCACCCAUAUAUUUUGGAAACCCUCUAUUAAGGGAAUUUAGUUUAUUUUUUGUUCCACCAAAAAUGUUUCACCUAGUGUAGUCACAACGUUUCACUAUGUAUAGAUCUAAUGUUGCAGUGAACUAAAAUACUCCGUUGCAAUAAAAAACCCACAUAUUUUGGAAACCCCCUAUUAAGGGAAUUCGUUUUAUUUUUUGUUCCACCAAAAAAUGUUUCACCUAGUGUACUUAUAAUGUUUUACAAUGUAUGGAUCAAAUGUUGCAGUGAAUUGAAACAUUAUUUCACUAUUUGCUGAAACAUUGUUUUUAUAUAAGGUGAAACAACACCCGAUUUAAACGAGUGAAACAUUUUCGAUCUACUUAGUGAAACAAUUCCGAUAUACCUGGUGGAAUAUUGUGCAACACUUAAAAAUAAUUCAAUAAUAAGCUAAAAAAAAUUCGUCGGAAUAUAUCCAUGUGUGAUCUUGUUUUUUUUAAGUUGGCCAGCAGUGUUAACACUAUUAGUAUUAUUUUUCGAAGUGGCCAAUAGGGUUUGUAGUAUAAUUUUCCAUCUUUCCCUACAGUUUUUGCAAUUGCCUACAAUGUGAUCCCCACAUUACCCACAGUUUUUGUAGCUGGUGAAUUGUACCAUCACUGUUGGCCAUCUAUGCAAAGACACUGUUUGGGAAAACUACAAAGACUUGUAGUAGGGCAUGUUCAUCAUCACUAAUACAGUUAUCUUAUUAAUAGUGCAUGCUCAGCAAUAAAUAGGUCGUAACGCCUAACCACUCUGCAUUAGUGAUAAACAAUCCAGUUCAGCGCGCAACGCCUAACCACUCUCUGCACCGUGACUGAGCGUAUCUCCAACAGGCUCCUUAUCUCACUCUCCAAGUUAAAUUUUGAUAAUUUUAGAGUAAAAUCGCACUCCAACAAGCUAUCCAGCUGGCUAAACUCCUCGCUGGCCAAAUUUGGCCAGCCAACAUCAGUAGCUAAAUAUGGGCCCCACACAUCCCCACGAUUUUUUCCCAUCCUCUCUCCCCCAGAUCGAGACGGGAUGGGCAAGAGGAGGUGCAUGUGCGAGCGCUGUCACCGGCGGUGCCGCUCCUUCCCAGCACCCCCUCCACCGAUGCUGCUCCUCCGCGCCGCCUCACCUCCGUGGAUAGCACCACGCGUCAAGAUGGGCUGGGCGAGAGGAGGCGCAUGUGCGAGCGCCGUCACCGGCGGCCGGGCUGAGGCCGGCAACGCCGACCGCCCUCGCCGACGCCCUGAUCCGCCAGUUGCUGUUGCUGUCGCCGGCUGAGCUCGAUUCUGGUUGCUGUUGCUGCCGCCACCGGCUUCUCCCCCUCUCGUCGCCUGCCGUCGCCGCUGCCGGGCUUUUCCCUCCUCGUGGCCUGCUGUCGCCGGUGGUGCUUCCCUCCCACGUGGUCUGCUGCCGCUUCUCUCCUCUCGCCACUGUUGUUGUCGUCAGUGGGUUGGGAGAAAAGUGAAGGGGAGGAAGAGUGAGAGAGUGACAUAUGGGUCCUAGUGUCAUAGACCCAUAAUAGAGAGGGUGGAUGGAGAGGCUGUUGGAGUAAGCAACGGGUUUAACUUACUAAAUCAAUUGAAGAGGUGGCUAUAUAUAGAUGUUUAGAGAGUGUGAUUUGGGUGGUGUGUUGGAGAUGCUUUGACCCUCUAUAAAAUUAAGUUGAUACCGGAGCAUAUAUACGCACCUUAGCUAUUAGACCACCACCUUCUUCCGGACUCGUACAUGUGGAGGCUGAAGGUGUCGGAGGGCGGCAGCCCAUGGCUGCGGUCGGUAAACAAUCUCCUCGGCCGGCAAGUGUGGGAGUUCGACCCUGACCUCGGCACGCCAGAGGAGCGCGCCGAUGUGGAGAAGGCGCGCCGCGAGUUCGCCGAGCACCGCUUCGAGCGCAAGCAUUCUAGCGACCUCCUCAUGCGGAUGCAGGUUCGUCCAUGUCCACGACACAUCCAUCGAGCACAUCUUCUCGGUCCUGUGGUCCUUGGCGCAACCCGUUGUACAAAAUAUUUUUCAUUUCCAGCACGGGAAGACGGCUAGCUACUUUGGGCUGAGUCAGAGCUGUGCGCUAAACUGAACCUAAUUCACACUAAACUACUUCCUCCGUUUCACGAUGUAAGUCAUUCUAGUAUUUCCCACAUUUAUAUUAAUGCUAAUGAAUAUAGACAUAUGUUUAUAUCUAUCUAGAUUUAUUAGCAUCAAUAUAAAUGUGAGAAAUGUUAAAAUGACUUACAUUGUAAAACAGAGGAAGUACUUAACUUCUCUUGUAAAAUUGGCACUGAAAAAAAAAACAUACACUGUUCUGUGCUCAUGACCACACUGACUCUCUUACCUUCUGCUCUCUAUUUUGCAGUUCGCUAAAGAAAACUGUCAAAAGCUGGACCUUCUCGCUGUCAAGCGUGGAGAGCACGAAGACGUCAUGGGGGAAGCUGUGUGGAGCUCUUUGAAACGGGCCAUAAGCCGCGUUUGUAAUUUGCAGGCACAUGAUGGACACUGGCCCGGGGAUUAUGCAGGACUUAUGUUCUUUUUGCCUGGCUUGGUACCUGCUCCAUCUUGUUUUAUCUAUCUAUUAUAUUAUUAAAACAGCUUUAAAAAGAGACAUCAUAUUCGCUGUGGAACCUAGAAAUUACUACAUUAAUCAAAGAAAAAGAAAAAAUAUUAACCACGUUAGAUCAUGGUAGAUCCAUAUUUUAAUGGUCUUAGAUUGAUACAGCAGGAAAAGCAAUGGAUAUAGACUCCCGCAUAUAGAGUCAUACAAGGAUAGAGUCUGACCAUAUCGACUAAAUCGAGCCCUCAUAGUAGAAGUCAUACACGUAAAAAAAAAGGCAUCUGCAUCUCCCGCGUAUGCAAAUAUAUUCUGAGUUUUCUUCGUCCUUAUCACUUUAUGUUCUUCCCUCAAACAUAUAUCUCUAUUGGUUUGAUGCAUUAUCUUAAAAAAUAUUCUAUUUGUGUCUACGUUUGCACAAAAAUAAUGUUAGGUCUUUAAAUGAUUUUCUAAAAAAAAAUAUUAGUUUCAUAUGUUCUUCCUGUCAGCGAAGGAAAAAAAAAGAUAAAAUUUAAGUAGGAAUACAAUGUAUAAAUAACCAAUUUUUUUUAAAAAAAGGUAAAAUUGAAAUAGCAUACAUCUAGAAAACAACACGAGAUUAAUUAAAAUUUAGAAUAGAAAAUAAAAUAAAUUCUAAACUGGAUUUUCAGUACAAAAUUCAAAUAAACUUUAAAAAACAAUAAAAUUCAAAACAAAAUAUAAUAAAAUAAUUAUAUAAGUAAAGACUACAUAGCAAGAAUAAUGAGUUUAAGUAGGAUUAUAAUUUAGAUCGUGGUCGGUCUAGAUUUUAACGGUUGAGCUUCAAUAAGAGUCCACAAAAAGUUCUGGAAAAUUACAGUCGUCUAUCUAAAGUGCAUUAGAAACAGAUACAUCGGUACAUUGCAACGACAGACUACGACUCGGAUAUGUACAAAAAAUUCAAACAAAUUAAGUAGAAAAAUUGGAAUAAUAAAUCAAAUAAAUUCCAAAUUUGGAUUUCAACACAAAUUCUAAAUAAACUUUAAAAUCAUUAAAGGAUCAAAAUAAAAACUCACUUUGGAUGGUAGAUAGUCCCACAUUAACCUGAGUAAAAAUAAAGAAGAGUUCAAGUAGAAAUAUAAUUUAAAAAUAUACUAUGUUUGUUUUAGAUAUUAGAAAUUCUCACAUUAAUUGAAGGCAAAGAGAAAAUAUCCUUAGAAAUAAUUGAAUACAAAACAAAAUUAUAUCCUUAGAAAUAAUAGAAAGGGUUGUAAAAAGAGGAAUUAAGAAAAGGUUGCAUAACUGGUGGGCAUCCUAAUACGAUUCGGACUAUUAUGAGGACUUUAGCCUAAUGGAAUUUUUUUUCUUUAAAAAAAAAAGACUCGAGACCUGCUAGAAAAAAUGAGGGCUUUCCGAUAGGGGGAAAAUGCAGAGGCGUUGUUCGAUCAGGCUGAACUGCUUAAGGCUCAUGUACAGGCAUUCAGCCCUACAUUGCAGCCAUACAUCGAUUGUCUCAUUAAAAUUUGAAAUAAAAAAUACAUUGUAAAAUUGGAUUUCAAUACGAGUUUCAAAUAAACUUAAAGAAUCAUUAAAUUCUGAAAUGAAAAUACAGUAUCAAAAACUACCAGAGGACGAUGACAGGAGGAAAACGAGUAAGAUAGAGGAUACGGUGCUGACCAUAUAUGUGGGACUUCUAUUGUAAUCACAGCGAUAAUAAGUUUAAUGAAAAUAUAAUAUCAAGAACUACCAGAGGGUGAUGAUAGGUGGAAAGCGAGUAAGAUAGGGGUUACGGUGCCGACCACAUAUGUGGGACUUCUAUCGUAAUCACAGCGACAAUAAGUUUCAAUUUUGAAUGGCACUAAAUGAUAAAGAAAAAUAAAGAUGGCAUGGCUUGACGAGUGGAUAGACGAAAAAGGGGUAGGGAGGCAGUGGUUUCCAUGGGAGAGCAAACCGAGAAGCAACAAAUGAGUAAAGCAAUGGUGGCGGUGUCUAAAAACUAUAAAAGGAAACCCGGACAAUGCUAAGGUUCAAUUUUAUAAGUGCCGAUGACAAUAAAGAUGAAAACAGCAGCACUGGUAGAUAAGUGGAUGGGUGACAAAGGAGCAGGGAAACGACGAUUUGCCAUCAAAGAGUGAGCUGAGGGAUGGCAAAUGACAAUAAAUAGGGGGAGCAACAAAUGAACUGUAAAGGAGUACAUCUAAAUAUUGUAAAAAAAACCUCAAUUACAACUAGAUUCAAUUUUAAGAAUCCCAAUGUUGAUAAAGAGUAAGUGUAGCAGAUAGGUCAUAAAGGUGUAGGUUUAUGGCGGUUGACUGGACUACUAGAAAGUAAAAGAGUAAACGCACAAUAAUCAGGUUUUAUUUUCAAAUUUCCAAUAAGAAUAAAGAGGGGAGGGGGCAAUAAGCGGACAUUAAAGGAGUAGGGUGACGAUAUUUGACUGGACUUCUAAAAUUUCUAAAAACAUAGCCUGAUAAGACAAUAAACUCUGAAACCUAUAAGAUCCAAUUAUUUUAAAAGUGGAUGAACAUAGAAGUCAUGGAGGGCCGGAUAAACAAUUAAGCGGCCAGUUAAGGAGUAAGGGGUGGUGGUUGAUGUGACUCAAAAAUAUAAAAUUAAAAACUCGAUGAUCAAGAGGUUCAACUUUUAUAAAGUCCUAAGAGAAUGAUAUUAUUAUUUAAUAGUUCUUAUAGAAAAUUAUGUGUAAAAGGAUUGGAAAAUUUUAUCUGGGUGCUAGCCGCGUAAUUGUGUGGGUUAUUGUAUUCCAUGACACACCGUGCUAUUUUGAUAAUUACCCACGUCACGACCUGGGUGCAUUUAAUUUUGUAUAGGCAGAAUGCACCCACCCUCUAGGGUGUUUGGUUCGUAGGGACUAAAAUUUAGUCCCUUUCGCAUCGGAUAUUUAGACGCUAAUUUGGAGUAUUAAACAUAGACUAAGUACAAAACUUAUUCUGUAACAUUGGACUAAUUCGCGAGAUGAAUCUAUUGAGCUUAAUUAAUCCAUGAUUAGCCUAUGUGAUGCUACAGUAAAUAUUUGCUAAUUAUGGAUUAAUUAGGCUUAAAAAAAUUCAUCUCGUGGAUUAGCUCUCAUUUGUGAAAUUAGUUUUUUAUUAGUCUAUGUUUAAUAUUCUAAAUUAUUAUAUAAACAUCCGAUAUAAUAGUAACUAACAAAAUUUUAGCGCCAUCUAAAAAUUGCAGUUUUGUUGUAACUGCUCGAUCCAAAUUGCAACUCGAACCGUUGCAACCGGCUCCAUCCGAGUUGGAACCAGCUCGGUCCGAGUUGCAACUGGUUUGGUCCAAUUGCAAUCGUUGCGUCAAGCUGCAAUUGGCCUAGUCUCUCGGUUGCAACUGCAGCGUACGUGCAUUCUGAAUAGAGAAUGCAACUGGGUGCAUUUUAACCUCAUAUGUUAUUGAUUUUUCAGUUCUUGCUAGGUAAGAAAGCUGCUCAUCAUUAUGUUUUGACUCGCAUGUGCUCAGAUUAUAACAUUGCAUGUCAGUGGAGUUCUGAACACUGUUUUAUCAUCGGAACAUCAGAAGGAGAUGCGCCGGUACAUCUAUAAUCACCAGGCAAGGUUACUUUAAUUAAUUUGUUGAUAAACUUUACAAAUUCUAUGCUGCGAGAAAGCAAAUUCAUUACUUUUCGUGAAUAUAUGUUGGAAAUUGAACUUACCACAGCAUCAAUGUGAACAGAUCUCGUUUGUGCCACAUGCUAAUGCAACCACAUUAAACAAAUUAAUGUGACUAGCUAGAACAUCUCCACCUAAGGUUGUUCUCAGCUGCCCCUCUUUCCAACACCUCUCUCGUUUUUCACGCGUACGCUUUUUAAACUGCUAAACGAUGUGUUUUUUUGCAAAAAAGUUUCCAUACGAAAGUUGCUUAAGAAUGGAAUUAAUCCAUUUUUUAAAAAAAUAGUAAAUACUUAAUUAAUCACCCACUAAUCGCUGCUCCGUUUUUACAAGAUUCAAACAUGCAUGCAUAAGUCUAGAUUAUUCCUAACAAUAUAUAUAAUUGCAGAAUGAAGAUGGAGGGUGGGGGUUGCACAUUGAGGGCCACAGCACCAUGCUUGGCUCAUCCCUGAACUAUGUUGCUUUGAGAUUGCUUGGGGAGGGUCCAAAUGGUGGAGAUGGAUGCAUAGAGAAUGGUCGAAACUGGAUUUUAGAUCAUGGAGGAGCCACAUUUACGACAUCAUGGGGGAAGUUCUGGCUCUCGGUAUGGGAUUAAUACACUUCUUUGUUUAUGGCAUUUAUGCCAUUUCAAACUUUUUCAAAUUGGUUUUAUAGAGAAGCUUCCGUAGUUUCAUUUCACUUAUUAUCUCAGGUACUUGGAGUAUUUGAUUGGUCCGGUAAUAACCCAGUGCCACCAGAGUUAUUACUAUUGCCGUAUCAACUGCCGUUUCACCCAGGUAGUACUGCUUGCUUUCUUGAGGCAUCAUAUUCAUGCACGUGUUGUAUAGGGAAUGUGUUUGGGGUUAGCCCCAAAAAAUCUUAGUCGCAACUUAAAUUUAGGAAAACCUGGGGUGUUUGGAUUGUAGCUAUGCCAACACUAUCAGUAUAUACCAUAUAUAUGGGCCUUAUGUCAGCUCUAUGGACAGCCACCAUGUACGAGUAGUCUAAUUCGCGACUAGUCGCGCUAGCUCUCCCGCGCGACUGACGGCGUGUCGCACGCAGAGAGGAGGCGGCGAAUGCGCGUACGGUUUUGUUUUUUUUUUUCUGUUUUUUCUCUUCCGUAUCCUCUCCAGUUUUCUUUUUUUCUUUUUUUUCUUUUCCGUAUAUUUUUCCGUUUUCUCGGUUUUGUAAUACGUAUGUAUGUAAACUUUGUAUACACGUAUUUUUUGGUUUUUUAUACGUAAGCCCACAAACUUUAUAUACAUAUGUAUAUUUUUAUACAUUAAAAGUGUAUACAUAUGUACGUAUACAAAGUUUGUGUACGAGUAUACAAACUUUGUAUAUGUGUACAAACUUUAUAUACGUGAUGUAUUUUUUUAUUUUUAAUAUGUACAUAUAUAAAGUUUGUACGUCGUAUAUAAACUUUGUAUACAUAUGCAACAUAUACAAAGUUUAUAUACAUGUAUAUAUUUUUUAUAGUAGUAGUACUAGUAGGACUAUAGUAUAGUAGCAGUAAUACUGGUAGUAGUACCGUUGUAGUAGCACUGCAUGAGAAGGUAGUACGGUAUUUAGGGGUGGCCGCGCGCCUAACACCACCCCCCCCUAAAAAAACCAUGUACACCCUCUCUCCAUAGUACACGCGCGCGCAAACACAUAUCCGUAUGGCACCUCUAAACACUGUACGUUGUGCACAUGUCAUCUGAAUUUCACAAUGCGUAUCACCACUAUAGCUCAUGUACAGAUCAACACAUAAGAGAGGAAAUUAAUCUUAUUAGCUACGACUAGAGAUCAAUGAAUGAGCCUCCAUCUAGGGUGAAAAUUAAAUUAUCUUAAUACGGCAGAUUAUUCAACUGCAAUACACCGAAUUGAUAAAUGCUGAAGUUUCUAUGUUGUUGGCCAUUCAUUGAUAAUAUGAUGUAUUACUGAUUCAUAACAUAAUGCAGGUCGAAUGUCGAGCUAUAUCCGAAUGGUGUUUAUACCCAUGUCUUACAUUUAUGGAAAAAGGUUUGUUGGCCCAGUAACACCAGUUGUGCUAGAGCUAAGAAGUGAACUAUACAAUGACCCCUAUGAUGAGAUUGACUGGAACAAAGCUCGUACUCAGUGUGCAAAGGUUGGUACAGAAAAUUGUGUAGAAUAAAGCUCGUAGUCAAUGUACUGUACUAUUUUUAUUAAUGUACUGUACCACUAGAAAACUGUUGUUUGGAAAAUAUAUUAACAAACUAUUUGCUAAUUACAUAUACUACCUCGGUUCUUAAAUAUAAGACGCCAUUGAUUUUUUUCAUUCAUUUGAGUUUUCAUCUUUCCGGCAAAUAUUUAUUGAAAUAGACAAAUAUAUUUGUAAACCAUAAAAUAGUUCUGAUGUUAGAUCUAAUGUUACCCAUUUCACUUUACACUAAUUGAUUAAAUAAAUAUUGUGAGUCAUUUGAGUAAGAAGUUAAUGGUAUUAUACAUUUAAGAGCGGAGGUAGUACUUGACAUUAAUGUAUUGUACCAUUAAAAUAUUGUUGAAUCACGACAAACUAUUGGCUAAUUACACAUACUUUAAAACAAAUAUAGCUCUAUAAUUAGCGUCUUGAUCGUCUCACCAGAAUAUACAAAGCAACUUCAUAGUUGCAUAUAUACUAUCUCCUUUGUAAAAGUGUAAAGUUUAGGAUAAGGUUUUUAGCUCUUUUAAAACUAAUUAGCUUGUCGUAAAUCUCAUGUAUUAAAGAUUGAAGGUAGUAGAGGAAUAAUUACACAGAAAAUUAUCUACAAGUUGUAUAUGUAUUGGACUUGCACUACAAGAAACCAGAAUAUCCUUAGCGGCCAAAAACAGUUUGUUUCGGUUAUUUUUAUAUGACUUUGUUUCAACAGUUUGAAUUUAAAUUUCAAAUGAUGACAACUUCAAACAACGUUUUCAAAUAGUAAAUGAUUUCAACUGAAAAAAUCAUCAACAACAAAGUGGCAUAACUCAUCAAGAUCUAUAACUUCUAUUUUGGUCAUUUCUUCAUCCGACAAAGUGAUUUGUAACAUUGUUCACAAAAUGUACAUAUCUCCUAUAUAGUUUUAUAAACUAUAAGAGAGAUAUACAAAUUUUGGGAAAAAUGUUACUAUCAUUUUGUCGGAUGAAGAAAUGACUAAAAUAUAAGUUAUAUAUCUUGAUGAGAUAACUUUUUUAGUUGAAAUCAUUUACUGCUUUAAAAUAUUAUUUAACUCCCAUGAGUUAAAAUUUUACGAGUUAAAAUUUUACUGGGAGUUAAAUUUUAACUCAUGAGUGAAUCUGCUGUUGGAUGGGGAGGGAAUGGACGGUUGAGAUUGAGAUCGCGGGAGAAGGUGUGGAUCGAUGAUGUGGCGUGAGGCGCAAAUCGGUGAUUUGGCACUUGGCGGGAAUUUUUGACCUGCAGGUGCACGUAAAAAUAUGAAAUUAUCUUGGCGGCUAUUUCCAACCGCCAAGGAAAUAUGUACUAAGCAAACUAUAUAUUUCCUUGGCGGUUGGAAAUAGCCACCAAUGUUUUGCUUAGCGGCUAAUUUGAACCGCCAAAUUAAAAUAUAAUCUUGGUGGCUGAUUUUAGACCGCCAAGAAAAUUGCAUGGCCACCAAGCCACCAAGGAUAUUCUGUUUUCUUGUAGUAAUUGUAUGUUGUCGAUGCACAGUUUGGUAGAAUAAGAUCAUUGGUCUUCCUAAGAAUAGGUGAAAAAGUAUCAACUAUCUGUAAAAUGGAAUUGAAAUAAUUUAUUUAUAAAAUAAUACCAUGGAAUAAAUAUUCUUAUGGAAGGAUCAUUCUGUGAAUGAUAUAAUUCACAUCAAUCAGAUGAAAAUUUAUAAAAAUGCAUUUUCUAUGAAUACAUACACUACUAUACAGAGCUAAUUAUAUAGCAGAUCACUGACACCUUAUUUUAUCAAAUGAAUAUUGAUGAGCCAGCAUUCAUGAACUGGAAGUGAUUAGCCAUGAUCUAUUGAUGACAGUUCUUGGUAGACUGUUGGUGAUAAAGACAAUGUCACUGAUGGUUCUUACUUGAUAGUGUCAUUCUAACUCCGCAAAAAAAAAAGUCAUACGAGGAUUUUGUAGGAGAUAUUAACAAAGAAGUGAAGUGAUCUUCCUUUGCCCCUAUUUACUAACGAAAGGGCAUGUAGCCUGACCUGAGUAGUACCGGUCCUGAAUUCAAAUAUCCUAUGGAGCGAAUUUCAGAUUGAGUUGUUUGCGGGGCUAAGUUCCCUAUUUCAAUGACCGUAUAUAUCCGGUUGGAUGUAUAGGCCUGGUAAAAAAUACCCUUCUCUAAAAAAAAAGUCACGUUACUAAUUGUUGAAAAACAUAUAGGGUGUGUUUCGCCAUGAGCACUCAAUGGAAACAAUGAAUAUAUAAGACAUCAAUAAUUAUUGAACAUUUUUUCCCUGAAAUUGUAGGUUGCUUGCAAUCAAGAGAUUUAAAGUUUGACUAUAAAUAUUAUUUUUAAUAUUUCAAAUAUACCUUUGAAAAUAGCAUAACUAGAUUUUUUCUUGAAAAUGAAUUUAGCAACUGUCCUACUAUAUCACUAAUUUAUAGUCUAUGUAGUAUGUUGGGUUCCUUGUCUAGUAAAAAUGGCACUCUGUUUUAAACAGAUAGUAGUUACAAUGUUGCUGUGAAUUUUGGCUAAAUUAACAACGAAAUGUAGCACAAGUCAAUGCAGUAGGGUUUGUCUGAAAUUCCCUUGCAGCCUGACUGCAUAUGAAAACACCUUACACUAAUGUAAUAGGAUUAACCAGGAAGUCCCAUUUUUUAGAGUGCAUAGGAUGUAAUAAGUUAGCCUCGACCUAUCUAAACUUUCAGUGUGAUCCAAAAUCAGACAACAAAAAUUAACAAAUUAAAAUGGGCCUUGCCCAUGGUCACCUCAAUAAAUGUUAACAGUCAAACUAUUACAAGUGUUGGCGUCACUCUACAGUAAAUAGUCUACACAAAUAAUAGUCCUUAUUCCUUUUCAUCAAGAACACACGAUAUUCAGUGAUCAAUAUGACUAUUUACAGAUUUUAACUGGCAAUAUAGUUAAGUGCAUCUUUCAUACGAAUGUCUCCUGAAGUAUAUUUUCCAUAUCAGAUAGUAAUUGAGCACAAAGCAGUUGAGUGACAUGAGAAUUAAUUAUACUCCCUUGGUUCCAGAAUAUAAGUAUUUUUAGUAUAGUGACAAGUCAAAUAUUUUUAACUUUGGCUAUUAAUAAAAAAAUAAAGAAUAUCAAUCAUGUAAAAUUGAUAGUCAUGUAACUUUGACUAUGAUAAUAUGCAACUCUUUUUAUUUAAAACAUUUUAUUUCUAUAGAUAUUGUUAGUCAAAAUAGCAUCUCGAAGAACGUGUCAGAGUCAAAAAUACUUAUAUUUUGGGAUGGAGGGAGCAGUGAAAACUAAGAAAGUAUAUAUAUAAGAGAUGUCGUAUUAUAGAUGUCAUAUCAUCUUGUUCUGUGACCAGGACUUUUCUACUGUCUAAAUGAUCAUUUAUAUGCUCACAUCUCAGGAAGAUAUGUACUAUCCACGUUCAUCCAAACUGGAUAUGUUUUGGUCCUUUCUCCACAAGUUUAUUGAACCAGUUUUGUUGCGCUGGCCUGGGAGAAAACUGAGGGAGAAAGCUCUGGCCACUUCCAUGAGGAAUGUUCACUAUGAAGAUGAGUGCACUCGAUACAUCUGUUUCGGUGGUGUACCCAAGGUAAACUGACUAUGAUUGUUUGUUAUUUUUUACAUAAUAGAGGUGCUGUCUUCUUGCUUAGAACUUUCUUGAUGCUAAUUGACGCAGCUACUUUUUUAGUGACCUUGCCAAAAAAAAAUACAUGAGUGGGUAGUAACACUCCAUUUAUUUUAGGAACAAGAAGUCCAUCUUUAGUCUUUUAUAAUAUGACAGUGCAUAUACACAUAGCGUCCCUAUCCAUUUUCAUGGGGCAUAAACAAGAAAGUACUCCAUCCGUUCCAAAUAACUAUUUUAUUUUGUCUUUUCUAAAUUAAUUAAUAGUAAUUUGGAAGGGAGGGAGUACUAUGGUUGAUGACUAUAUAUAUAUGACUUAUGUGGACUGCACGUAGCGCGGGUGGCAGGAGCCAGUGGCUCGCUCGGUGCUAACCAGCGUUCAAGUCUCAAGACUUGACACUCGUCCCUCGCCCGUGGGGAAUUUUCCCCUCUUUCCCCGGGACUGUCUUUGGAAGGUCCCGGGUAGGUAAUAAGAUAUACACACGCGUACACGUUCAGUGGGACUGCACGUUUUCAACGUGCACUGAGACCUAGUGCCUACAAUCUCUUUCCUAGCGUGUGUUAGGGACGUGCACGCUUGUGUGUGCGUGUGUCGUGGUGUGAGUGUGGUGUGUGUAAAGUGUGUGUCCUAAGUUGUACCCUUCUUAAAAAAAGAUAUAUAUGGCUUAUAGGAACAAUCUAAUCUCACGGAAGAUUGUUUUGCGGUCUGAGUUGGAAAGUGUUCUACUAUUAGCAACGACCACUAGAAUAUGUUCGGUCAUCUGUAACGGGUCUAAAGCCUCAUCUCUAUCGGAUAGCGCCUCCGUCACUAAGCAAAGGUCACUGAUGUGAGAAAAUAUCUCAAUUAGGCAUCCGGCCAUCACGGAUGACACACAUCUCAAUCGGGCCAACACUAUAGCCCAUCACAGAUGACUCUCAUCUCUAACGGACCUAAACUAUAGCCUGUCACGGAUGACUCCUAUCUCAAUCGGGCCUAAACUAUAGCCCGUCACGGAUAACUCUCAUAUCAAUUGGGUCUAAAUUAUAGCCCGUCACGGAUGAGUAUAAUAAAAAAUAAAUAAAUUAUGUUUUUUUGGCUAGCCUCAGCACACAUAACCGGGAAGAAUUUCUCGGUCGGUCACCCAUCUCAAAAUUGCUCUAACAUAAACACGCUUGACCUUAGAGUUCUUUAGGAUCACCUUCCGGAGAAGAAGUUGUACGUUGAUUCACACACACAACCAUCAAUAUAUUUAAUACAAUCACAUUCACAUAACAUCCAUUUUGAUCACAUAUUUCACAUCCAUUCACAUAUUUCACCAGCAAAACCGAGUUAAUUUGAUCAAAUAUAUAUUUAGCAAGUAUGAGGAGGAAAAUCAGACUUCUAGGCAAAAAUAAAUUUCGAAUUGAAUUUUAUAAUACUAAAUGAACUCAUAUGAAAAAAUCGUCAAAAACAAAGUUGUAGAACUCAUUGAGAUCUACCAAUUUUGUUUUGGUCAUUUCUCCAUCCGGGUUUGAUUGAACUAUAUAAAAUUUGAAUUUUAAAAUAUAAGAAAUUUAAAUAAUUUUUCGAGCAGUAAAUGAUUUCAAAUGGAAAAAUUGUCAACAACAAAGUUGUAUAACUCAUCAAGAUCUAUAACUUUUAUUUUGGUUAUUUUCUAUAUAACAUUUUUUGAACAGUUUGAAUUUGAAUUUGAAAAUAUGAUAACUUCAAAUAAUAUUUUCAAAUACCAAAUGAUUUCAAAUAGUAAAGUCAUCAACAACAAAGUUGUAUAACUUAUCAAGAUUUACAACUUUUAUUUUGGUCAUUUCUCUAUAUAACAUUUAUUGAACAAUUUGAAUUUGAAUUUGAAAAUAUGACAACUUCAAACAACAAUUUCAAAUACUAAAUGAUUUCAACUAAAAAAGUCAUCAACAACAAAGUUGUAUAACUCAUCAAUUUCAAGCCUGUCACGGAUGACACAUAUCAGUGACGGACCGUAGUUUAGGCCAGAUUGAGAUAACAUUGCAUAUCUCAAUCGGGCGCUUUUUUGGCCCGAUUGAGAUUCUUGUGACAGUCACUAAUUCCAAGCAUAUUAGAGGCCGUCAUAGAUGGAAGAUUCUGUACUAGUGGACAUUACUAUGUGGAAGACAAAUUGUGAUCAUCAAAAUGCUUGGUAGAAUAGCUUAAUUAGUGAGAAAAUAUUGUAACGGCAUCUUGUUAUUUAUUUCAGCAUAUACAUUAGGAAAAAGUAGUAUCCAUAAACCACCACUACUAUUUGUAGGAGCGCCCCCAUCUUUUUGCAAGGGCGGACAAAAAGAUCUGUCACCCCUGUAAAUAUAUUUACCAAGGGUGGACGUGGGAGGCAAGCCACCCCUAAAAAGCAACUCCAUUUCCAAGGGCGGAACACGUACACAUAGGGGCCGAGUCUAGUUCCAAAUUUUUUCUUCAAACUUUCAACUUUUCUAUCACCUUAAAACUUUUAACUUUUCCAUCACAUCGUUCCAAUUUCGACAAAACUUCCAAUUUUAACGUAAACUAAACACACCAGGAGAUACAGCUUCCAAUCCAAGUAAUUAACAAGCAAUGAAAGGUGAACCGCUUUAACUUCGAUCCGGUGCUGGAAUUCACACAGCACACGCUCCGAGAAACCGAUCAAUUAAUUUUCUCUUGAUGAAUGGGUUCAAAUUCUUAUCCCAAUUGGGGUGUGUUUAGAGCAACUACAAUAGCAGACUAUUAGCCAGCUGUAAACAUAUUUUAAUGAGAUAAGGGAUGAGAGAGAAGAGCAGCGGGCUACAGAUCUGUAGCCAGCUGCAGCGCGGGCUCCAAGACAUAAUGUGUGUAUGACACGUGAGACCAUAUAUUAAUAGUAUAGUAAGCAACUAUUGUAUAAAUUGGUUAUUAGAUUAGCUAUAGAUGAAUUGGAGCUAGUAGUGGGCUAUACUAUAUUGAACUUGUUCUUAGUUCCAAAGUUUUUUUUCAAACUUCCAACUUUUCCCAUCACAUCAACCUGUCAUACACACACAAACUUUCAAUCACAUCGUUCCAAUUUUCAACCAAACUUCCAACUUCGGCGUGAACUAAACACAGCCUUGGUUAAAAUUAAUACCGCUCCGUUAAAAAACUAUUCUAACCAGUUAAUAUUCAAGCUGGCUAGCAUAUAGGAUAUAUGUGCCGGUAGGGAAUAGCACCGGUUGUCGUUGGUACAACAACAACGAUGUAUGUUUAGUUCAUUAUUCGUACAACAACGGUGGUACGUUUAGUUCAUUAUUCGUAUCGGUUGUCGUUAGCACCGGUGUGAAUGUACUAAACACAACCGUGUACUUUGGACCAAUACGUAUGAGCCGAUACGAAUGACGGUCUCUGCACUAGUGAUAUUUUAACACCAAGAUAAACAGAUGCGUAUGUACAGCGCAUCUGUUCAAGCUCUCAUUAUCUCUUCACCCAAACCGAAGAACCCGUGCUUUGACCAACAAGGAUAAUGUUUUAAUACAUGCAGUGCAGUCAAGAAAAGACAGAUGUGAGGUUCCAAUACCCAUCUUAUAAAGGGGCAAAGUGCCUCUGAACGAACUAUCCAAGAUUGACCCUUUUGGACAAUAUGGUUGUUAUCAGGGUCAUUGUAUGCUGUUGUUCAUAACAUCGCUCAUUCCAAGGAUUUUAUAAAUGAAUGUCAUGCCUAUUAUACAGUACCAUAUUUAGAAUAUAUGGUUCUAUAGUUCAGUGGCAUUAGAGAGAAACCAGGAAGGCCAUGGAAGUACUGACGUGGAGUAGUGGACAUAUACUGAUAUAGGCUUUAACACCAUAUGCUACAGCUAGCUUCAUUACCUUGAGGUCGUGUCCUUCACACAACGGAUAGUAUGAACAAACAUGUUGAAUAAUUUUGCUAACUUCAAAUCAGAGAGAUCCACUAUCUGUCUAUCCAUCUCUAUUCUAAUCACAACCUCUCAAGAAAUUCCAAGGUUAGUUUGAGAAAAUAAUUGACUGUUAAUCCAAUGUGGGGCCAAGUAAUAAUUAAUGGUGAGUGUUGGAAAUUUUUUGUAACAAGUUGACAAGCAUGAUCGUAGCACCUAAACGCCUUGCGAUGAUAUGGUGUUGCCAACCACCCUAAUCUAGCAAUUGCUAAAUCAAGAUGGGUUUCGAUAGAUUAAACCGGCUAGAGGAACCGAUUUAGAGAUCAAAAUCAGCCUCUAGGCCGAUUUAGAUCGAUAUGAGGAUAACUACCCGUCUCGUGGGUAAAACGGAAGGUUUUUAGGACAAACCUACAAAGAGGUGCCGCCCUCUCGCAGCGGCGGCGGAUGAUUUACGGCGCAAAUCGAUAAAGAUGUACUAAAACUAGGGUAAAGUAGAAAACAUGGCUAAAGAUAAAAAGAAAAAGCGAUUCAAGUAUAUUGUGUAUUCAGGGUAUUACAAUGAGCUGGCCUUGUCCCUUAAAUAGGGAUUGGUCUUGCCCUCUACAGGCCCUUCUCCACAUUCAACUCGGGAUAGAAACCAAAAGAAACCCAAAACAUGCCUUUCCGGGCAAGGAAACCCGAGACCCGAUGAAAACAGACUCGGACUCGGACCCUGACGGUCUGACCGACCACAUACCUGUGGUUUAGACACGGCCCUACUAGCCGGUGAGACCGCCCACAUACCUGUGGUCUGACCAGCCCUGUGAAGGAAACCCGGCAGUUUCUAAACUUUGCCAAUUUUCUCUAUUUCGUCCAUAGGUGCUAAAUUUGGGUGUAAACACAUGCAUCCCUGCCUUUUUUAUGAACAUCGUGAAUCUAAAAGCAUAGAACAUGUUGUCUUAGGGCGAUAAUCCAAUUACCAGCCACAGGACUUCCUAAGCAUCUCGCCAAACGCUAGGGAAGUAUUUCUUCAAGUAUUUCCCAUGGAUUGUUUUCUUGAAGUGCAUCCAUCUCUUUCAAAGUCUUCAAACGCUUAUCGAUGACGUCUUCAAAAUUGCCUCCCAUCAAUAUCUUGUAAUCUUCAACCGACAAGUCGUCUUGCUUGAAAUACCGAAGAUAGCCAAGAUUUACCUCAAUUGGCAAAACGGCUUCUUGUCCACAGACCAAUUCAAAAGAAGUGACUUUGGUAACACCAUGUUUAAAUAUCCUAUGAGUCCAUAAUGCUUCCGAAAGCACCUCAUGCCACUUCUUUUGGUGUUCUUCAAUCUCCUUUUCGACUAAUUUCAACAAUGUUUUAUUACUCGACUCGGCUUGUCCAUUAGCCUGAGCGUAGUAAGAAGAAGAACUCAACAACUUAAUAUCAUAAGAUUCGGCAAAACUCUUCACCUCCUUGGACAUAAAAGAAGCUCUUUGAUCAAAGUUUAAGGAAUAUCAAAUCUAUGAACGAUAUGCUUCAAAACAAAGUCAAUUACCUCCGUGUAAGUAAUAUUCUUGAGCGGCACGGCUUCGGCCCACUUGAUGAAGUAAUCCGUUGCGAUUAGCACGAACCGCUGCCCCUUUGAUGAUGAAGGAUAAAUUUGACCAAUGAAAUCCAAAGCCCAACCUUGGAACGACCAUGGUUUAUUGAUAGGAUUCAACACAGUGGUAGGCACUAAUUGAACAUUGCCGAUCCGUUGACAAACUUCACAUCCUCUAUAUUACUUGAAACAAUCAUCAAUCACUUUCAGCCAAUAGAAUCCCACUCUCCUAAGCAACCAAAUCCAUCUUACGGGCCAAUUGAUGAGUUCCACAAAUCCCUUCAUGUACUUCUCCCAUAGCAACCUUAGAUUGAUCAUUAUCUAAUCACUUCAAAAGUACUCCAUCUAUUUUUCGACGAUAUAAUUCUCUAUCAAGCAAAGUGUAUUUGAACGCUUGUCACCGAAUUUUCCGAUCAAUCCUGAGACUAGGAUCUUUCAAAUAUUCUAUUCAAAGGGAUUCUCCAGUUUUCUUCUGACUCUUCGGCACAAAUAUCCGAAUUCACAAUUAAUUCAGCCUUUGAAUCAAUUAUAACGUGCCCCUUAGCUUUUUGCCCGGGAUCAGUUAGACUGGCCACGCAAUGCCGGUCGGACCGCCCUAUCUGCCCGGUCAGACCAGCCAUGCAAUGCCGGUCAGACCGCCCCUGGUCUAUGAUUUUGUCAAUUUCUCCCAAAGAUUUAAAAAAUCAAGCACCGGCUUUUCUAGUUUCAAAAAGUAAUCCUUUCUUCAUAUUAUAGCCAGAUGUUUGGUGUAUCAAAUUACUAGACCAAAAUUUCUUCUUUCUAGACAUAUGAAAAAUUAUAACAUCCAACUAAUAUAUCUAGAUGAAUACUAAUUCAAGUGGCUUUUGAAACAAUAAUCAUCAAGGCAUCAAAAAUGCUUAGCCGCUUGAAGUAUGAUCAAUAAUGAAUCACCAAAGUCAUAUGUGUCACAUGCAUAGAUUCCAAUAAACUACAAAUGUAAGUAAUCGACUUAAGCAUGUAUGCAAAAUAUUAACAAUGCCAAUGUUCCUAAAAAAAACCACUCUAGAGCAAAUCAUCACAUUGACCAUUGACAUUAGCCGAAUUACUAAGCAAAAUUUUCAUGGUGCAAUAAAUAUGAAAUCUAUAUCUUAUAUGGUGAUCCAUAAAAACAUACAUGAUUUGGCUUUUAAUAAAUAUCAAAGAACCAUGAGCCAAAUCAUACUUCAAACAAAUUAUAUGCCAAUUUACCAAUUCCACUACUUAGAACUGGCAUUUGCAACAUGUAUGUAUAAUAUCAAUUUGAUAAGCAAAAACACAUGUGCUAGAUAGCAAGCAAUGUUCUAACAUGGCAUAGGCAUAUAAUAUAAUGGUAAACAUAAUAAACACAUACCUUGUCUUAGCAUCCAACAAACGGCGGCUCAAAGAUGUGAUGUUGUACCCAUCGUUGUUCAUCUCUUUUGAUUUCUUCAUGAGCAUAUUAAUGUCUUGCCCCCCGAGCAAAAUCGGCUUUCUUGAUUGCACGAUUUCAAAGGCAAGAUGAAUACCGCACUAAUACCCAUAGCAUCAUAUGAAUGAGACUUAUCUCUAAUGACCGAUGAUUCUUCUCUCAUCAAAUUGGAUUUAUCACUACUUUGGGAAAUCACCAAUCUCUUAACUUUUAUCUCUUUAGGUCUCCACGCUCGCUUAGGUGUCGUUCGAGGCUCAAAAUUGUUACAUAUUUUGUUCUCCACAUCUUCGGCUUCUUUUUCUUUUUGACCUAUGGCUCGAAGAUGUUGUAGCCUCCUCUUCUGAGAGCGAGAUAAGCCAGAAGGUAUCCACUUCGGCUGUGGUUGUAUUCCAAGAGCUAAAUGAUGAUUCUUGAUUUUUUUUCAGUUGAAGUGGAAGUUCUUGUGUUGUUCUUAACUUUCCCACUCUUCUCCAAUGCCCCCCGGUCAGACCAGCCUCUGGGCCCGGUUAGACCGGUUGCAAGCCGUCGGUCAGACCAGCCAGCUGUCUCGAUCAGACCACCACUUUUGGCAGUCACGGCGUCGGCUUCAGUCUUCUUCGCUUGUAUAGUUUUCACCGCAUCUCUAGUAGGUACUUGAACGUCUUGAGAUUCCUCCUUGAUAGUGACGACCUCCGGAGCUUUGGCUUCUUUUCUCACCCACACCUUCUUCACCUGUUUCACCUUUGAUCCACCGGACCGACUCUUUUGUGGGAAACGGUCUUGACUAGAGUUAAAUGAAUGACUUGGUACUGACCUAGAUGAUUGCUUCCAUUCUUGAUGAAACGGCAUAUAUGGUUGAGGCAUCCAUGGCAUAUAAUACAUAAAAGGAUAACCAUAUAGUGACAUUGGAUAUGGAUACCAUGGCAUCACAAUCGGAGGUUUGUAUGGAGUUGGUAUAGUUGAUGGCUCCGAUUGCUUUGGUGUUUGACCAAAUCUCUUCCUACGAUAUGAUCUUGGUCUUUUCAAAUCACUAGUCUGAUUAUCGAAUUGUUGACCAGCUAAUCCUUUCUUGUACUUAGCCAUAAGCAUCUCAAAAGUGAGGUUCAGCUUUUUGGUCUUUUGGAAACUAGAUGACUCAUCCUUUACAACUUUAUGAUCGUCGGCUUUUGUAUUAUUGAUCCUAGUCUUAGGCCGAAGAUCCCCAAUAAUAACACAUUUCCCUUUUGUGGAUUCGGCUUGACUAGGCCGAAUCACUACUUUCUCGUUAUCUAAAUCAAUAGGACUAAUAGGGAGAGGAUUACUAACAAUUCUGGUCUUAGCAAAAGGUAUAACCGAAAUAGUAUCACAAGUGACCGAUGAAUUAUCAAUCGGAUUUUGCUCCAUCAAGCUUGCAUCUUUAAAAUAAUCAUGAAACUCAUGCUCCAUUUGCGACCAUGUAGAAAUUGAAUUGGGAGCAAGUAAACUAUACCAUAUAGAUGCAAAGUUUGACAAAGAAAGAGAAAACAAUUUUAACUUAAGCAAAUCAUUACUACCGGUCUUACCAGAUUGUUCAAUAAAUUGGCAGAUAUGCUCCAUUGUUGUUCUAGCAUCCUCACCUGUGAAUUUCGUGAAGUUGGGCACCUCAAAUCCUUGCGGGUAUGGGACCAAAUCUAUGCGUUCAGGAUACGGCCUUUGAUAUGUAUGCAUAGCUACUUUGGAUUCUAUUUCACUACUAUACCGCAAGACAUUGUCAUCACCUUUUCCAACAUCCACAUGAUUGAUUUGUGACUCGAUCUUAGGUGACAAUACUAUUUCACUUUCGCUUGUGAUACAAUCCGAACCAUCAUUUAGUUCGGCUAUAUUUUCAAUGGCACUAUUGUCUAAGCUAGCAACACAAUCCGAACCAACACUUAGUUCGGCUAUACUCAUUAUGGCAUCAUUGACCAAAUUAUUAACACAAUCCGAACUAUCGCUUGGUUCGGCUAUACAUGAUAUUGCACUAUCAUCUAAACUAGCAUUUAAGCUAUUGUUAUCCACUCGGCUUUCCUGAGCCAGAGCUUCAUGCAACACAUGAUCAACAUCAAGAAAUAUCUGGCCAUUCAAUCUCUCUUUAAUAUAAUCAAGCAAUCCAUCAUAUGCAAUGUCGGCCAAAUCUUUGUCAGUUAUUUUCAAACUAAAACAUCGGCUUUUAAUAUCUCUAAACCUUUCAAUAUAAUCAGCAACAGAUUCAUUGUGUUUGUGCCUAACCGAUGUUAAAUCAAACAACCUAAGCCCAGUUUUACCAAUGCAAAAAUAAUCAUGAAAUUUUUGUUCUAAUUGAGCCCAAGUAUGAAUAGAAUUUGCCGGUAAAGAAGUAAACCAUGUAAAAGUAGUAAUGGACAAAGAUAAAGAAAAUAAGCACAAUUUAUAAGUAUCAGAACUACUAGCCUCACCACGUUGCGUUAAAAACUGACCUACAUACUCCCAUGUGGUCCUACUAUCCUCACCACUAAAGUUGGUAAAUUCAGGAACUCUAUAACCACGAGGGUAUGGGAUAUUGUCAUAAUAAUCAGGAUACGACUUUUGGUACUCCCUAGCACGAUCCAUCGCUUCAAUCCCAAAUUUAUCCCUAAUAAUGAUACUAGUUAACUCUUCCAUAUUCUCAGGCCUAUGCUGAUUUGGUGGUGGGUUUGGUGACCUAAAAGGUUGUGGUUGUGGCGCAAUAUAAUUAUAUUAGCCAUACCUAGUAUCGGGAGGAUAUCCCCUAGUAGGAUCAUUGUAAACAUUAGGGAUAUGUGGGGGAACAUAGGGAUUAACAGUAGAUACAGGAGAAUCAUGUACCGGAAUAUGGUAUAAAAGCACAUUAUUUGUCAUUGGAUCAAUCCCCUAUACCAGGAUAAUUACGCCGAUCUGACCGGUCUAGGGCCCGUUCUGGCUGGCAUCCAGAGGUGCGGUCAGACCGGUUUAGGGUCCGGUCUGACCGCUGGGAGGAAACCCGGUCUGCCGGUCUGACCAGCGGCGAGCGCGCGGUCUAACCGGCCGUCUAGCCCGGUCGGACCGGCUGAAUGCGCAGCUCCUCCCUCGCUGGUUGUUUGCAUAUUUGCCCCAUCGGUUUUGGGGUAAAUUUGAUCUACAUGGGCUUAACUAGUACUGGUAGAGGCUUUAUUUUAGGUUGGAAAUCGGCUAUAAAAGAAACGAAUUUAUUUCUCAAAAAAUCAGCAAAACGAGAUUCAAUAGAUGCAUCUAAUUUACUAUUUAGAGCAGCAAUGGAUGAAUCUAUUGUAGUUGCUAUGUGUUGUUGGAUAGGAAUUGAUACCUCUUCAGUACUCACCAUAUCAAAACUAGGUUUGAUCAACGGUUCAGGCUUGAGAACCACACCUUGGUGGGUCCUAAAGCACGAUCUCAUUAGCGCCUCCUGCGUGAUCGCUUUGAUGCACUCCUCCGUAAUCUUGCGUGCUUCCACAUCAAGAUCCUCCAAUGAGAUCUUGUUGAUCUCGUUCCCGCUCGUCAUGAUUGAUGAAGAAACUCCUUAAUUAAUUUCAGCCAUACAGCUCAUAACCAAAAUAUUUUGACCGAAUAAAUUAAUAUACGGUCUCUAAAUUUCCUUGAUAUGCUACUGUUCUUAGCCAAUUUUGUCCAAAACUAGCUUUUGUUGAUUUCCUGGACGUAACAGUGAAUUCGGUACUGUAGCAAAAUAUACAAAAAUUAACCGAUCUGAAAUAAGAUCGGCUGCUCUGUUUCCUAUUUUCUUUUUGGUAACAGUGUGCUACAAUAAAAAGGAAACAAUAUUCUUGCUGCUUUUUGUUUCUCAGCAACCGUGUAUAACACGUACUAGCACGAUUAAUCAGACUGAUCGGCUGCUGUGCCGCUGUUAACUGGUUCCUUGCGUGUUGAUGCUCCUGCUUCCUGCCGACUAGAUCGGCGACUGCCCUGGUCAAACCGGACUGAAUACGUCGGUUAGACCGGUGCAAUAUGACCGGUUAGACUGGCUCGGCUAUGUCGGUUAGACAGGCACAGUGAGCGGUCAAUUAAUUGACAGAUAGAUUUCGGCCGUUGGGCCGAAACUCUUGAUUGGAUGAAACGAUAGACAAUUAGAUUAAACGAAAUUCAGCCGUGAUAUGGCUGAUUAGAUCGUUCCCCAGCGAAGUCGCCAAAAAAUCGUGUUGGCAACUUUUUUGAUAAGUCGACAAGUACGAUCGCAGCACCUAAGCGCCUUGCGGCGAUAUGGAGUCGCCAACCACCCUAAUCUAGCAAUUGCUAAAUCAAGAUGGGUUUUGAUAGAUUAAACCGGCUAACGGAACCGAUUUAGAUAUCAAAAUCAGCCUCUAGGCCGAUUUAGAUCGAUAUGAGGAUAACUACCCGUCUCGUGGGUAAAACGGAAGGUUUUCAGGAUAAACCUACAAAGAGGUGUUGCACUCUCACAUCGGCGGUGGACGAUUUACGGCGCAAAUCGAUAAAGAUGGACUAAAACUAGGGUAAAGUAGAAAACAUGGCUAAAGAUAAAAGAAAAAGCGAUUCAAGUAUAUUGUCUAUUCGGAGUAUUACAAUGAAUUAGCCUUGUCCCUUAAAUAGUGUUAACAGUGAAAUUUGGUAAGCCCGAAGUCAUCAUCAGCUAAGAAUAAGUAUCGGCUCUAGAGUACUGGAAUCAGCCGAUGGGAGUCAUCAAAUCACCAGCAACCGUAUUUCCCGUGGAGUCGGAUCAACUAAAGGGAAUUUAUCCAUAAGAGUCCGAAUUCAAGAAGGAUGCGGCAUAGCAAGUUAUCUAUUAAUUAGGCAUAGUUUAGUUUCCUUUUAUCUUUAGGAAAGUGUGUUUAGUGUCCGAUAAGGACUUUAUGUUUUUCUUUUAUCUUUAGGAAAGUUUUUUUCUUGUCCGACAAGGACUUGUACCAACCCAUGGGUAUAAAUAUGUACACAUGGGGUCUAUGUGAUCAAUCAAUCGAUCAAAACAACUACUCUCGAUGCAUCGCCACCCUCUUUACUGAGGUUUUUACUUAUCUUCCGGCGAAAUUUGGGCACCUGACGCGGGGCUACAUCGGUUCAGUUCGAUCUCCGGCGAAGGGGUAAGUCCUACGUUCCGUUGGGCCCUGGUGAAUCUGUCAUCUACGUUGGCGUCGUUCAAGGCUGCAUCAGUACAUUGGACCUCUUGGAUUGCUCCGGUUUGGAUGAUAUGUUUGCCUACUUAUUUAUCAUAUGUCUCUGUUAAUCUAGUGUUACCAUAUCAAUUUAGCUCUAUCGAUUGCUUUUCGCUUUAGGGUUUCUACCGGUAUCGGCUAAAUCGUGUUGCUAGAUUAGAUUAGCUUAGGCAUCUACCACCCUGAAAAUUAGUCAAGGGCUUGAUUGUCUAGAUAUUGUUUUUCUUUUUAUACUUAGUGCUGCAUCAGUUAAGUUUGAUCUACUAAGUCGUGCUUAGAACCAUAAUCCCUAGCCUACUUGUUGACUGCCAAUAAGGGUUUCAUCGGGGUUUCAGCCGAUGAAUUAUCUGGACGUUGCAUCGGCUUAUAAGGAUUGUAUAUAUAAGUUGGAUUUAGCUGAUCGCAACAAAGGUUUCACUGUUUAAUAUAAUCUUGUGGAUUUUAUGGCAUUGGAUCUCCAGCCGAUGUAUUAUUUAACCUUCGGAUCAGUGCUUAUUCUACCAUGUUAUUAUUAGCCGAUUGGUUUCUAUUGGAUUAUAUUAUUGUUAUUUUAUUACAUCAUCAUCAGCCGAAUACCUUUAUAUCAUCAUCUACAUUGGACAUAUAGUCGGUUGCUUAAGCCCUAUCGCUAUCGGCUGGUAUCGGCAUCGGCUAUUAUCGGCUAUCGGCUGGAACUACUCCAUCGGCUUGUCAGCCGAUCGGCUGUUUGAUCUACUGUUUACAUAUCUUGUCAGUUACAGGAUCAAACUGACUAGCACGCCCGCUUCUCAUCUUUUGAACCUGCACUGGAGCUAAGCAGAUCUCCCAGGCCGGUGUGUUCGAUUUUUUCGUCAACAAAUAGGGAUUGGUCUUGCCCUCUACAGGCCCUUCUCCACAUCCAACUCGGGAUAGAAAUCAAAAUAAACCCAAAACAUGCCUUCCCGAGCAAAGAAACCCGAAAUCCGAAGAAAACAGACUCAGACACGGACCCUGAUGGUCUGACCGGACAUAUACCUGCGGUCAAACCUGCCCUACUAGUUGGUCAGACCGCCUACUUACCUGUGGUCUGACCGGCCCUGUGAAGGAAACCCGACACUUUCUAAACUUUGAUAAUUUUCCCUUAUUUCGCCCAUAGGUGCUAAAUUUGGGUGUAAACAGUUAGGAAUAAAGAUUUGAAGUUAGCAUCUCUAUUCUAAUCACUACCCACGAGUCCAUAUCCCUCACGUUUUAUUCAAUGAUAUUUUUUCCUGAGAUCUAUCUAAAAUGUACUCUAAGAAAUCAGAGUCAUCCCUCCAAGAAAUCCGAAGCCCUCAACUGUAAUAUCCCCUGCCCUAUGUAUCACUGUAGUAGUAGUUGAUGGCCUAUGUGGCCCAACUGUAGUAGUGAUAUGGUGGGGUUGGUACAAUGUUCUAUGUUUAGGGGGUGAGGGGCCAGCAAAUACUCGUCAUUGCUCGAAAUGUAAAACUUUGGUGUUAACCGUUUUACAUGAACUGAUCCUUUACGAUUUAUUACUUUGUGUACUUCAUAGUUAUUGAACUUCUGUCAGAAAUUAGUUUAUGCCCUAGUGUGGUUACAUUUGUUUCCCAUCAGCUUGUCACUAAUAGCUGAAAAAUAAAAUAACUAAGUAAAUUAUACACAGGCAUUAAAUAUCCUUGCUUGCUGGAUUGAAGAUCCAAGCUCAGAGGCAUUCAAAUGCCAUAUUGCACGCGUAUAUGAUUAUUUAUGGAUCGCUGAAGACGGCAUGAAGAUGCAGGUAACUUUUGGUCGUUCUUUGAUUGUUUUUAAAAGCAAGUAUAAUAAUGAGUUUUAAGCCUACUAUAAACUUAGAUGGAGAAGAGAGAUAGUAAAAAACAAGGAUGUUGGCUCUCAUGCAAGAGCUAGCUUAUCACAAGCUCCAAGAUAAAUACAUUAAAUGUAUAAGUGAGAGAUAGAGAGAGGAGAAAAAAAUUAUAGCUAACCUUAUAGCUAAUCUAUUAUAUAUGUUGGUUUUAAGAUAGGCUAACAGUAGGAAGUGAGCUCUACUAUUAUCUUUGCUCUAAGAGCACCCGCAAUGGUAAAGUAAGGUGCUAUCUAUAAAACAUGUACAUCUCAACAAUAGACUAGAUUAAUAGUAAACCACUUUAAUGGUAUGUCUACAUGGGUAUCUAUAGCUCUCUAAUCCAUUACCUCGUUUUUCUCUAUAGACUAUCUCUAAGUUAGUAGAUAGUUUUGUUCUCUCUCUUCAUUUAAUCUCUUUCAAGUAAGAAAAUAUGCUGACAUGAAUCUCUUUGUAGAGAGACUAUAGAUAACCAUUGUGGGUGCCCUAAGGCUCACUUCCUGCUAUUUGCUUCACAACAUUCCAUACAAUGGCUACUGCAUUAACAAACUAAUUAAUCAACAUUUACACUUCAACGGUGUUUACUAAUUGUUUGUUCAUGCUCAAUAAAGCCAUUUUUAGUAUACCAAAUACUGAAUAUAUCAUAACUGUUGAGAUUGAUGUAGUUUAAUAGAUGAAAAGUCCUUCCUACCCUCUCAAUAAAUGUCCUUUGUUGGGACAGAACUCAACAAGUGUGUGUAUUGCCUCUAUAUUCAAUGUGCCUGAAUGUGAGCAGUGUUUACAUAUAUAUAUACAAGGGUAUACAAAAGGAAAUGUCUUCAAUGCCCCUAGCCCUAUGAUGAAUCUCGAGUGGCUGGCCAGUAGGCCAGCCUUUAAUCUAUUAGUAAUAUCAUAGGUGGCAGGAGGGAGGUGUCCAUUAAGGAGGCAGUACCGAUUCCCGAGGUAGCUCGCUAUUGCUCGCCUAAAAGCAUGCUCCGGGUAAUAACGUGCACCGUCUGGACGUCAUCAACAGUGUCAGGGUUAGUUAGAGCAUGUAAUGCGCAUUUACUCCAACCCACUAGCGCCUGGUCCUUGAAUUUGGGCCGUUAGGGCGUAUUGUGCCUUGGUUCCUUCCGAGCCGCACUAUUAGCUCUGGAAACCUCCGAAGCUCCGAAGUCCCUGGCCGCCUCCGGAGCCCCUUGAGCGUGCUCCGAAGGCUCGCCAGGCUCCGGAGCUCGAGAUGCCCUCCGUGGCUCCAGGAGCCUCGGAUGCUCCGGCUUCCUUGAUCACUCUCGGAAUCCCUUGGGCGACCUCCGAAGCCUUGCCAGGCUCUGGAGCCCUUAGUGGCCACCGGAGCCAUUACUAUUCUCCGAGACCCUUAGUAGUUUCCGGAGCGGCGGCUUCAGCCAGGGGACCCAAAGUGGCAUUCACCCUCGGUUAUCUCCCUGGGGAGGAUGGCUCCUCGAAGCCCUGCAGGCCUUCCGGAGGCUGACCAUUUAAUCCGGAGCCAUUCCCCCAACAUCCUUUAAUAUACUACUAUUCAGGCAAGGUGAAGGUAAAUAGAAAAAUUACAUUCAAGGACUCCACUGCUACCUCGGUGGGUAGUCAGUAUUACGAGUUUUAAUUUGGGCUACGCAGCCAUUUGCAGUUGCUCAGAAGUCUCCAUUAGCAUUCAAAUUUAAAAACUACUAUUCAUAACAUAAAUGUGUGGUGGAGGCGUGGAGCAGUAGCGCCCCUGAUUUCACUGCAGGGUUACGACUUCUCAGGCCCUAGUGGGGUUACAACGUUAACUAUUUAGUGCAGAUUUACGAUGGCAGCCAGGUGUGGGACGCAGGUUUGACAGUUGAGGCCCUUGUGGCUACUGACCUUGUCAAAGAGCUUGGACCAACUCUUAAACGAGCGCAUUCCUUCCUUAAGAAUUCGCAGGUAUAUAUAAUCAUGCCACUAGACCUCAGUAAUUUGUCCAUAAAAUGUCAAUUUCAAUCAGCAUUACUUACUGGUUAUGUAUAAUAAGGAAGCUAUUUUCUAUAUGAAAGUUGCUUGACAAUUGCCCCCGAGAUUUCAACCGCUGGUAUCGCCAUAUAUCCAAAGGUGGAUGGACAUUUACAACAGCUGAUGAUGGCUGGCAAGUUUCAGAUUGCACGGCGACAGCACUGAAGGUAAACGAUUAAAUUUUCCUUAUUACCAAUAUAGAUGUUUUUUCAUCUAAUUUAAUUUCUUUCCCUUUGUCUACCGAAAACGUUAUGUGCUCAUGCAUAUACAAAAAAUAAAGUAGUAAUUCUUUCAGAAGCAUAACAGUUUUCCUGGACACCACUACUACAAAAACUCCUUUUACAGUUGCUGCAGAACUAUAUAUUACCGCAGUAGGAUAAAGAACUUGCUGUCAAAUAAAUUAGUAUAAUGUUUGAAUAUAUAUAUAUAUAUAUAUAUAUAUAUAUAUAUAUAUAUAUAUAUAUAUAUAUAUAGGGGCAUGCAUGAAUGAAAGUUAUCUUUUUCAUUGUCCAACCAAAUCAAGUUGAACUAAGGUACUAUGGUUGUGUUUAGUUCCUGAAAUUGAGGAGAAGUUUAGAGAAAAUUGGUAGUUUGGAAAAAAAAAGUUGGAAGUUUUGUGUAGGAAAGUUUUGAAUGUGAUGUGAUGUGAUGGAAAGUUGGGAGUUGGGGGAAGUUUGGAUGUAAUGUGGUGUGAACUAUAGAUUAUUUUCUGGAAUACAUAGAAUAGCUGCAAAUCGUAUCAUUAUGGAAGGAUAGAAAAAGAACCUCCAGAACAUGCCCAAAUCAAAAGAUGCAUAAUCACAACCCACCAAAGUCAAAUUAGACGGGACCCUUAGUGGACGAACAGUCACCCCAGCGAACGGUGGGUCCCACCUGCCCUUACUCAUUCCUUAUCUUCUUUUUUUUUCUUCCUUUCCACCAUCUUCUUCCCCCGACCACACGUCUGCACCAGCAGCAGCAUGUACCGCCCGCGGCCAGUGGCGAAAUCGCCACCGCGCCCAGGGGUGGAUCUACAGUAUUAUGACCGGUGUCAGGCGACACUGACGACUUUCGGCAAAAUCUAUAGCAAAUUUGCUUAUCCAUAUGUUAUAACACCAUAAUUUAAAUAUAAUUAGGAUUCUAUGACACCGAUAGACACGUUAUGACACCAAUGAAUCGAUUUUCUGGAUCCGCCACUGACCGCGCCUCCCCCCGCCUCCCACCCCUGCGGCGUCACAGCAUCCUCCCGUGCUAUUGCUGACCCCUGCCACUGGGGUCCUCCCAAAUCCGGUCGGCAGCGCCACCGCCGGCCGCAACCCGCCAGGCCACCACCACGGCCGGCGACCAUCCCUCUAAUCCUGCCUGCCAUGGAACAUUCGAAACCCCAAUCCCUAACUCAAAUCCCUCCCCCACACCCCCGCCCCCGCUGCUGGCCUCCGCCACCACCCGCUUCUCCCACCUCUCGCCAUGGCCGCUUUUCACCACCCUUUUGUUUCUCUUGACGAAGAGUUGAAGACAACGGGUGCGGAUGGAUCAGAGCAGAAUCAAUCAGCACCUUACGCGUGUCCUUUCAUUACUUACGGUAGCAACACACGUUCAUCAAAUAAUAUAAGGAUUUCGCAAAUCAGAACAGAAACACCACUGUCAAUGAAAGGACCACCAUAGCACAUGACAACACAUGGAGGGGUUCCUGGAUCAGUAUAUAUAUAUUAAGACCAGACUCUUUAGAUACUAAAUAAUUGAUUGUAAGAAACUGGUUGUAACUUUUAAGGGGUGGACUUUCUAGCCAUAGAAAAUGUGAAUAUGAAUAUUAGAGACUAGCUGCUAUCUAGCUAGUUAACCUCAGAUCAUGGUUGUCUCCUUCAAAUAAUUAAUGAGUUGUCCAGGACAUUAAAAUGGCCAAAUUGGAUUUGAGUAAGGGUUGAAGAAAGUUUUAAUUAUGGAAUAGGUUCAAGUUCAAACCAGCCAAGCAAGGGUGUGUUUAGUUCCACGUCAAAAUUGGAAGUUUGAUUGAAAUUGUAACGAUGUCACGGAAAAGUUGAAAGUUUGUGUGUGUAGAAAAGUUCGAUGUGAUGUUUUUGGGUUCAAAGUUUGCAUCUAAACACGGUGUAAAAUAUAACAAAAUUCAAGAAAGUCCCAUCAGCAUCAUUAAUUCUUGGGUGCAAGUUCAUUAUUAGUGAUGUUAAAUUGGAGUAAAUAACUAGCCCAGUGCAAUAGUAAUUUGUUUAUGCUUAUUGUUGGUUCCAAAUAUUAAACGUUUAGCUAAUUUUCCCAACUUGAAACACAUGUUGGAAUUACAACAAUAGGGUGUGCGAGUGCCUGCAGAAAUACUGAGGGGGAGUGGGAGCAAAUGGUCAUGGAACAUAUAGGGCCUCCACUUUUUGCCCUCCACAUUUUUAUAUUAUCUUUGUGUCAUCAAGUAACACACCAGAUACACAUUUAGUACAGUCAGUUAAAAAACUUGACUCCCUUGAAGUAAUAUUACAGUUGGCCAUGCACUGUACAACAUGUUUAUCAAUAUCAGUUCGUAGAUCCUCACAUGGUUCAAGAACUCAAGAUAAUGAACCAACUGUACUGUCAACAUCUUUUUUAACCAACUGUUGCAUGUUGUUUUUGUUUCUUAAUAAAUUUCUUUGGUUUUUAAGAGUAUCUAUGCUGUUACAAUUUACGUACAGGCAUGUCUAUUGUUAUCAAGGAUAUCUCCUGAAAUCGUUGGUGAACCACUGGAAAUUGAUGCACAAUACGAUGCUGUUAAUUGUCUGAUGUCUUUGAUGGUAAACAUUUUUCAAUCUUCCGUCUACUAUUCUACACGAGUUGUUGUAGUCAAUGAUCAGAAUUUUGUACAAUAUUCAACUUUGAAGAGCCUUGUGUCUGAUAUGUUUGUGUUAAUUACCAUUUACAGAAUGAUAAUGGUGGCUUUUCAGCAUUUGAACUCGUAAGGUCUAAUACAUGGCUGGAGGUGAGGGGUUGAUUUCUUUCAGGAUGCUCCUUUGUCCUUUCCCAUGUUAUAUAUACACGUAAAUCCCAAUGUACCAAGUUAUUUUUUCUGUUGCUAGCAAAAGGGGGAAGAUAGCGCGCCUAAAUAAGUGGACUUUGCUAAUGAAUAAUAAUGAUACCAAUGCUAUAUGAUAGCGGUACUAAUCUGUCCGGGAAAAAAAAUACAAUUGCACUCUUAACAGGACAAGAGAGAAGAUCUCUAACCGUGGUAAAUUUAUAGAAAUAAAGUGUUGCAGUUAAAAAAAAAGGUGGAUGGAGAAAAUCAAGUACAACGGAUCAGAACUUCAAAUUCACCCCUGUUUUGUACAAUCUCAAGUAAAUGGUGUCAUAGAAUGCAAACUUAAACAGGAUAACUGUUAACAUAGUUAAAUGCACAUAUGCAUAUAUGUAAAUUAAAUGCAUAUCUGUUUUUCUCCCUAAUUAUAUGGUCGAUGAAAAAGCACAGCUACAUUCAUCACUGUGACUAAAUUUGGCUAAUACUGACAUGUUUUGUUGGAGUUCAGCAUAUUAAUCCUACAGAGGCAUUUGGGCGUGUAAUGAUUGAAUAUCCGUAAGAUGAGAUAACCCAUUGAAUUUCAUUUCUUAUAUACUUCCCUUUUUUAUCGUAUAUAAGACAAUCCCAAACAAUAUGCAUCUGAAUUGACAGGUAUGUCGAAUGUACAUCAUCAUCAAUUCAGUGUCUAGCAUUAUUCAAAAAACUUCACCCAGGGCACCGCAAGGAAGAGGUGGAAAAUUGUAUCAGCAAAGGUGCUAAUUUCAUUGAGAGUUCUCAGAGAAGCGAUGGUUCAUGGUAUGUAUUAGGACAGGAUGCAUACAUAACUACAAAUAUGUGCGACCGAUGAUUUUAUAAAAAUCCCUACUCAAUUCUGAUUAAGCUGUGUUCUUACAGGUAUGGUUCUUGGGGGAUUUGUUUCACCUAUGCCACAUGGUUUGCAGUGACAGGAUUAGUUUCUGCAGGCAGGACACUUGGGAAUAGCGCUACAGUUAGAAAGGCAUGUGACUUUCUCUUGUCAAAACAGCUUCCUUCGGGUGGCUGGGGCGAGAGCUAUUUGUCAUGUCAUGACGAGGUAACUUUCGCAUCAGCCUUAUCAGUUUGGACAAUUUCGUUUAUACCCCUAUUUUGAUGUUUAAUAUUGAUUUUAUCCUUACUUUUUAGGGUUUUCGUUUUUGUUCCCACUUUUUUUGAACCGAACAAUCUUUUUGCUCUUGUUUUAGAUAGAGAAGUUAAUGGUGUUAAAUACUUGGCAAAAGGAUAUUUAUACCCUUUCCUAUCUCUAUUUACUAAUUGUGUUUUGCCUCCAUUCUAUGCAUGACUUUGGAAAUUUAUUUAAGUGAAUAUGUUUUAAAUUAAAUGACCCACAUUGAGUAACAUAACAAUUUGGACAGAUAUCUGAAUUUGAUGAAAUUUUGAUAAAAUUUCAGCAACAUUUUAACAGAAAUUGAACAGACUUUUGACAAAAUCUGAACAACAUUUUACACAGUCGUAUUAAGUCAUUUAACAGCCUCACAAGUACUAUCACAAAUUUCAACUCAAUGUCAUUGACUUGUCCUACAAAUCACAUCACAGCAACAAAAAUACACAUGUACUCCCUCCGUCUCAUAAUAGGUGACGUUUUUAACUUUUUAUUUACAACGUUCGACCAUUCGUUUUAUUUGAAAAAUUAGUGCAAAUAUAAAAAAGAUAAAUCAUAUGUAAAGUACUUUUGAUAAUAAAGCAAUUGACAAACAAAAUAAAUAAUAAUUCUAAAAUUUUUGAAUAAGACGAAUGAUCAAAUAUUGAUAAAUAAAAACUAACUAAAAAGAUAAAAAGAUAAGUAAUAUAAGUAAUAUGGGACGGAGGUAGUUAGCUAAUUGUUGCUUGGAUGGACGGCGCCGUGCGUUUGAACGAACCCGCCCGCCGGUGUCGCGUUGCUGCUGAUCCUCAGUUAAUGGCGUGGAGCAGCGGCCCCGUGCUGUUGUCGAGGAGGCAGGUGGACGUACGGGUACGCCGCCUCCAACGCCAUAUGCCCCGCGACUAAUCAUUAGAUAAAUUUUUUAAGUCUAAUUAAUCUAUAAUUAGAUAAUGUUUACUGUAGCAUCACAUAUACUAAUCAUAAAUUAAUUAGGCUCAAUAGAUACGUCUCGCGAAUUAGUCCAAAAUUAUGGAUGAGUUUUAUUAAUAGUCCACAUUUAAUAUUUAUAAUUAAUGUUCAAACAUCCAAUAUGAUAUGGAUUUAAAAGUUUUAGUCUCAUCUUAAACAUGGUCGUAGUCCAACGACAUCGACGCCCACCAGUUGGUGCAGUCGACGAUCAAGCUGCUGCGACGACUGGUUGUUCGUCCAGAUGGACGUACGUGAUGCCCUCCACCGCCGCCGCCUGCCCGAUGCCCAAUCGCAGCCGCCUGCGCCGCUCGGAUUGAUUUCAGGACUGACCCCGUGUGUGAGAGGAGAGAAGAAGAGACUCUAGGUAGGGUAGAUAUUUCCCAUGGGUACAAACCUAAAUCACAAAUUCGAAAAAUGUUUAUUUACUGCUAUAAAUCUGGUCCCACUAACUUCUGUCUAAAUCACGGGUGGUAAACGUCUCUUUCGGUUAAAAAAAGUAGGGGCAAAAACGAAAACCUAAAAAAUAGUGUUAAAAUCAAAUUGAACAUUAGAGUAGGUGAAGAAACAAAAUUAUCCCUAUCAGUUUUGUUUGAAGCUGGUAUUUAGGGUGGCUAUUGUUGCAUGCUGCUAUGUCAGGAUUUAGUGUUUCUACGUAUUUCCUACAAGGAGUCAACACGACGGAUGCUAUUGGAUUAUUUAUUUUCGCAAGAAAUUUUGAAAAAAAAAACAGCUUGAAGAUUAUGGAUUUUGGAAUCCGAGAUUCAGCAACAUGGUUCUAAAAGCUAAAAUAAAUAGGCCCUAAAUCAAGCCUUCAACCACGUAGAGCUGACCAACCAUCUUCUGAUUUUCAUUCAAUCAGGUUUACACAAAUCUUAAAGGCAACCGACCUCACGGUACGCACACUGCGUGGGCCAUGAUUGCACUAAUUGAUGCAGGGCAGGUAUGUUUUUUUUUUUUAUGUAUAACUUUUGGCCUGUGGAUUUUGGGACAAUAAUUCAAGGUGCUGUUAUAGGCUGAAAGAGAUCCAGUGCCUCUGCAUCGAGCAGCCAAGGCUUUGCUCAACUUGCAAUUAGAGGAUGGAGAAUUUCCACAGCAAGUAAGUAACAGCUGAUCGACUGCUAAUUACAACAGCAGUGUUAAUUUAAUUAUAAACUAUAAUGGUAAAUAAGGUUCAUGCACUACUACAGAAAGCUUUUGAUCGCUGAUUCGUAACCACCACCACCACCCCCCCCCCCCCCCCCCCCCCAAAACUGCACCACUGGUUUUGGCAACCACUAGAUGAAUAGUGACAGUGAUAGCUGCUCGAACCCACAACGACGAUAGCCCUUAAGAAUGAAAAAGAACAGUGUAAAAAAUACUUCUCCCUUCAUAUUUUAAUGUAUGACGUCGUUGACUUUUCGUCCAACGUUUGACUAUUCGUCUUAUUUAAAAUAUUUAUGAAAUUAUUAUUUAUUUUAUUGUGACCUGAUUCAUCAUCAAAUAUUCUUUAAGAAUGACAUAAAUAAUUUCAUAUUUCUAUAAAAUUUUUGAAUAAAACGGAUGGUCAUACGUUGAUGAAAAAGUCAACGGCGUCAUAUAUUAAAAUACGGAGGGAGUACAUAAUUAAUGGUGGUAUACACUUUAAUUUCUCCCAAGAGACUACCUAAUGUAGCACUGGAUCAAUCUUCCGGUAGGUAUGACAGAUUCGAUUUUGGUGGAUAACUUGGCGUAAUGAUAUCCAGGCUUUUAACUCGAACCGUUGAAGAACCCAACUCCAUUGAUCUUGCCAGGAAUUAAUGCUUUCCAUUGCAAGCGAAUCAAAGGACACAAACAAGAAAGUGAAAGAACGUGAUCUGAAAUUGCAGAUGCAUAUGAGAGCAAGUAUAAUAGUAGGCUAUAAGCCGGCUAAAUGCUGAGAUGGAGGAGAGAAGAGUGGAGAGAAAGGAAAAGCGGGCUGUAAACUUACAGCCGGCUUGGACACAAGAACCAAAAAAAUCUAUGAGAGAGACAAGUGGACCCUGUAUUAAUUAUAAAGAGUUAACUAUUAUAUGGAUAGGCUGAGAGAAAGCUACAAAGAACCUUAUAGCCAACAGGUCGGCUGUAUUAUUAGCCUUGCUCUGAAGCGAAUCCGAGUAUGAAGUUUGAGCUCUUAACAUGAAAGGACUAAUCGCCAUUGUCGAGAAGAACAAGAACAAGGGGCUUUGGAUAACAACAAAUGGACAUGUCAUCACAGUUAUAAUGAACGAUAUGUCUAGAUAAAACACAUGAAACUAAGAGACGGCUAUUGAGCUUUAUGCACUAUAGGAUGACCUAGGGUUGGGGGGAUUAUUGCCCGACACGAUAUGAGGCCCGAUGCCCCGAUACAGCCCAAAACUGGCCGGUGGCGUACGUAGCACCUUGUCGUGACUACACGGAAUGAUCCACAAGGCUUCUUAGUCUAGAGAUAACUAGAGAAUGCCCCGCGCGUUGCUGUCGGACUUGGUUAACAUCAAUUUGUUAGAUAGGAGGUACAAUCUCAAGAAGAAACGGAAGAAACAAAUGGCUUUCUUGGAGAAAUUCUUUUUAGCAACCCUAUUCAAAUUUUGUAGAUAAUUUAGGUAGCACAUUUAAAGCAUAAGCUACAAAGAAGCAAAAUGGUCUGAUCGUAAGUUAACAAAUUGUAAUGUUAACUGAAUGGGCGUUCAGUCAUAAAGCUCUUUUAUACGGAUUGAUGGGCCGGAUACAUGUAGAUGUGUGUAGAGAUGGGCCAAUAUGUUUAUGUGGGCUAUAUUUGGCACUGAGGAGAUAAAGAGACUCACCCGGUGCCUGACAGGUUGGGCUCUAUGCUGCGGUCCAUCCAAUGGUUGAGAACCAAUAUAAUGCAUUCAUUCAACGGUUCAUAAUUGAUGAUGACGUGAAAAUAUGAGGUCUGAGCUUUUAGCAUUAACUUUAUAGAAAGAAGGGAUAGAAGAACCGAAAGAAAUCAUUCAACAUUAUUAGCUUAUUACCAACGCAUCAAAGUAUGCCUAACUCGCUUCAAUGUCGUAUGAAGGAGAUAUUAUCAUUUCCAUGUAGGGUGGUCAGCUAGUUCCGAACCGAACGCUAGCUAAAGACUGAGUUUGUGACAAAUUGUAACUUGGUGCGAGAAUGGCUCGUGUGUAUCCACCAUGGUGAUGUCCUAAUCACUACCAGACGAUUUCGCACAUGAUGUAUCCUCGGGGAUUCAAACACUCGUGCGACCAGAGCAUACUAUGCCAUACAGUCACUUGUGAUUAGUGAAGGGACAUUUUUAUAGUAACUAAUUCUCUUAAUCUCGCUAUAUUAAAUAUUUGGAUAUAAAAAAUGAACCCAACUGAAAAGUUCUAAACAAUUAAGGUUCAUAUCUCGUAAAGCACUACAAUAUCCUUCUGAGCUCAUUUAAAAAAUUCAAAAUUUUGAAUUUUAGAAUAUCAAAAAUAGUAAUAAAAUAUUUCAGCACCUAAACUUAUAAAUUAUUUCAUCACCUAAACCAUUUUAACUGAAAAAGGUUGUCAACUACAAAUUUUUAGGCCUAAUCGAGUUCUAAAACUUUUUAUAGAACAUAUCUCUAUCUGAAGUCAUUAACAAAAUCAAAAAUUUAAAUUUAGAUGAAAACUUGUGAGCUACAAAUUUUAGAUGUCCUCAAAAUCUAUAAUUUUAAUACACAAGUUGUCUUUGUCUGACUUCAUUUUUAAAAUUAUAAAUUUCGCUCCCGGAUCUCUGUGUCAUUGUACUACUCACACAUCACCGCUAGGUCAAGACUGAAACUGGUGGUUCAAAGUGGUGAUAAAAUAGCACUCCCUCCGUUCCAUAAUAUAAGAGAUUUUGACUUUUUGCUUGCACUGUUUGACCAUUCGUCUUAUUAAAAAAAAAUUAGAAUUAUUAUUUAUUUUAUUUGUGACUUACUUUAUUAUCCAAAGUACUUUAAGCACAACUUUUCAUUUUUUUAUAUUUGCACAAAUUUUUUGAAUAAGACGAGUGGUCAAACAGUACAAGCAAAAAGUUAAAAUCCCUUAUAUUAUGGGACGGAGGGAGUACAAGUUAUUGAUGUCAGUUUGUAGAUGAAACCAGCAGUUAUAUAUCCCCAUGCACCGCAAUUUUAAGGAGUAAACAAAAUAAUCUUGUAGUAGCAAUGAUGUUAUUAUGUUUGCCAACUAUACCAUGACUACUAUAAAAAAUAAAAGAUAGCAGAUUCACACUAGUCUCAAAAUCGUUAUUGAUCUCAGCAUGUUUAAACAUAAUACACCUGAACCUAUUUUGUAUAUAUAUCUGUGCACAUUUUUUGCAUUGUAUAAUAUGGUCAGAUACAAUAGAUCAAUCGUUGAGUUGAAAUGAGAGAACAUGUUUUAUUGUAAAUAUACAUAAACUUUUAUUACUAUAUGCAAACAGUUAAUUAAAUUUUUAUUUAUGACUGUCAACAACAGGAAAUUGUUGGAGUCUUUCUCCAAACUGCCAUGAUCAGUUAUUCCCAGUACAGGAACAUCUUCCCUAUAAUGGCUCUCACAGGGUAUCGCCGCCGAGUACUGCUUGCAGGCAACAUAUAGGAGCAUGAUUUUAAGUUAUGCCAGCUCUUGGCAUGUUGGUUUGCCAAUAAAGUUACAUUUCACCUCCCCUAGCAGCAGUACUCUCUACUGUUCUAGCGUUUGUAUUUUGUAUUUUCUAAGAAAAAAAUGUUUUACCGCAUUUACUUAGUUCCCUUUGUUUGUAAUAAAACAUGGAACAUACUGCUUCCUUGUAGUUACACGUGCGUUCUAAUAAGAAACAUUAUUAUAUCUAGUAUGCUUACCAAACCCCUAAACACGUCGGCAAUCCUCAAAACACCUGAGCCUCUUGAAUUGCAUUCUCAGUUCUGGCAACCACCGUUCUGAUACCAUCUUUUCUUGUUCACCAUUAAGAUAGCAGCUGGCCACCCUAUAUAAAGGAAACAUCAGUAGCCAUUCUUAAAACGUACUCGUAGUAAGCUGGAACAUAGAUUCAUUCCACCAAAUAUAAGAAAAUAUUCAAGACCAACACACACAAAAAAAAAAACAGGAUUAUUUUUGAUAAAUAAGGGCAUCCCAAAUUGCAAUUCCUGUUUUAGAUAGACAUCAGCUGCAAAUAAUUAUUUUUCCCUGCUCAUCAGCAUACUAAAUAACAUCUUGUGGACUUGCUACUAAUUCAAAAUAAGAGUAUGGCUUCAGUUCAUGAAUCCCAACAGUACACUGCUCAAUUGGUAAAUGUUACAGCUGACACAAGCAUUACAGUGAACAAAAUGUAUUUGACACGCAUGUUAGAAUUCUUAUUAAACAAAACCCCCCUUCCAAGAGAACAUAUGUACUGAUAAAAAAUACCCAAAUUGAAAUACUGUGAUUCUAAGGAACAAGCCAAAAGAGGGUGGAAGGGCAUAGAAACAAACAUUGACACCAGUCCUACACAAGGUUGUCAGGAUCGGGAUACUAGGUAGUAUCGUUUUGCUCAAAGUAAUAUCAUAUCGUAGGAUCGUAUCGUAGUAUCGGGAUACUAUGAGAUUUUCUUUUUUUAAGUUUAAUUAAUAUUUAUAUUAAUUAUAUGUAGCCAUUCUAUAUAAAAAAAAUGUAGUAAUGACAUAUGUCAUGCAAAUAGAGGCAUUUAUUAAGAGAAACCACGUUGGUUUUGAUAUAUUUAACUGAAUUUUAUAUAAAUUUGAGCAUAUUUAUUUACAUUAUUUUCAUACCAUGUUAUUUUAAAUAAUAUUUUGUAGUAUCGUAGAGAUCGUAGAAUCGGGAUACCACCUAAGAUUUCGUAGGAUCGUGUACUAAUGAAUAGUAGGAUCAAGAUACUAUGAAAAUUAGGAUACUAGGUGGGAUCGGUAUCGUUUCGGCUUGGUAGGAUCGUAGUAUCGUAAGAUACUAGGAUACGUAUCGGGAUACUGACAACCUUGGUCCUACAUACUGUAUACCGACAAUCAUUGACACACUAGACCUGCUUCAUGCCAGUAAAGUUCCAGUUGGAUUCAGUAAAUAUCUAUUGUUAAGAAAGAAAAAGACUGAGUAAAAUUUCGGCGUACCUUUCAUAUUCCUGUUGAGCACUAUGUACAGGGUUUAGCAAAACACGAUCAUUCUCAACCAGAUUUCUUCGCGUCUGCACCAAAUUAAUAGCUUUUGAUAAAUCCUCUAGUAGACACAAGUGCAAUGUAUCAACAAUUAAAUCAAGAGAAUACGCAAUUGGUUGGGUUGGACACGAGACGGCUUGGAACUAUACUAUCGAAUACUCCCUCCAUCUAUUUUUUAUAGUCAUAUUUCCAAAUCUGAAAAAUUUAUUUUUGAUAGGCAUAUUUCAAUCCAACAACUUAUCAUCUUAAUGACUUUCUCGGAUUUAAUGCGUGACUCUCUAUUCUUCCACACAAGAUUAACUAUAUGGGCAUCGAGAAAUGUAAUAUUAAUGAAUCGCUUGUUUACAGGGAAUGACUAGUAGCAUGUUUAAAUAGAUGAUAAGUAAAAUUACUUAUCCUUGGUAUAUGUGUUAAGAUGAAAUAUGACUAUCAAAAGUAGAUGGAGGGAGUAUUAAUUAGCCAUUGCUGGCAUUACACCUGUCAAAAGGUGUAUCUAUGUGUAGUGUUAUGUAUGUACAAGGGAAAACUAGCCUAUAAUGCCUUCUGGUCCAGUCGCUCUUUUCAGUUCAGGCACCUGAUCAAGCUGAGGAUCCAGUCACCAGUUUGGACAGAUUUAUUAACAGUUGGGAGUGGGUGCUGACUCAUGGAUAUUUCAACAGUCUACUCUUGAUAAUUGCUGCCUCCUUUUGCCAUCAAAUGAUACCCAGACGUUACUUCUUGCAUCAUCUGGUAUCUGUGGAAGUUGCAAAUGUAAUGGCAGUUACAAAAGAGUGUGCAAAUUUUACCAGUUAGCUAACCAGGUUGUGGUAUUGUGGGUUAAAAACAGGAGCUAAAGCUGCUACUAGAGUCUGAGUUACAUAGUCAUAGUAAACAUUCUUAAUUAAGGGUGAUAAUAAAGGUUGCGUGAAAGCAUAAACAUUUUAUCGGAUGUUGAAUGUUGAUUGCUCCAUACCUUCAAUUCAAGUCGUGCAGAAAUCAGGAAGGAUGACAAGUCUAAAUGACAAUGAGUGCGGGCAGAUUGGAGUAAACAGCAAACAUGGGGCAUUUGGAUGGACCUAGAUAACAAGAGCAACAAUGAUCAUAGUGAAUAACUGUCCUGUUCAAUUGGCACUGGGUAGCGUGCUUGGAAAUGAAACAUUUCCAUGGCAGAUAUAAAAAGACUAAUAAACACACAUUAUGUGAUUGCAUAUCGAACACAAUGUAUUUGAAUGAAACAACAAACAAGAGUACAUGACCACCAUAAAAGCAACAAAUCUACCCAUCAUUUAUCCUUGCUCAGUUUUCAGAAAUCAAAAUGGAUUAUACAAGAGCGCCAAAAAUGAUAAGUAUUUUCAAUGCAGUAACAAUGUUCAAUAUUAAAUAUUUCCGAUGAAAUAGUUAAGAAGAAAGAAAAUGAUAUUUAGCUCAUUGACCUUGGAGAUUGGCUGUUACAAUUAUUCUUAAAGUAAAUGCUGGGCAUGCUUCUUUGAAGUUUAGCAAGAUGGUUCCAGGAACUAUUUCACUGGUAUAGAGUGGAAAGCGGCACAACUAGCCUUUUCAUAUGUUCCUCUUUGAACAUGUACAGGAUGCAUUAUUAGAGAGAAGUCAUAUUUAUAUAAAAUAAUGUCGUAUUUUCAUGUAAAAAUCUUCCCUGAAAAUAUUAAGCAUGUGCAUCAUCAAUGAGAAAUAUCUAUACAUAACAUGGAGCGGAAAGCAAUAGAGGAAACAGAUCUUAUUUAAUAACACGGGAAAAUGCUUUUUUUCAUGGUCAUUUAUCACUUAACAUGGGGUAAUUUAGUGCUUCUGAGGAUUUCUACAACUUGUAAGAAUUAGCCUACCAUUGAGCCUCCAGCUGCACCAGAGUAUGCUGUACUGCCAGUCGGUAUAGCUACUAUCACCCCCAUCUCCUUCAACCUAGAAAUAUUCUCAUCAUAUUAAAAAAAUAGAAGUUUUUAGUACAUAUCUAAAAUAAUAUUAAAAAUCCUGAACUUAUAAACAAAUACAGGAAUAAAAUAACAAAAAUAAGCUCCAAGAAGUGUGUCUACAUUAGUAUUUAAUCAUUAGUUCCAACCAACACUUGCUUCAGGCAAUCAAGUGACACAAUGAGUUAUGAAAUUGUGAAGGACAAUUCAGCUUAGAGAAAUAUGAACAUAAUGCAAUAUGUUUUUUAUCAUAUGAACAGUAGCAAAAAACAUAGUUAUGGCUUCUCUAUUUCAGUGCAGCUGUCGCCUAAACUCUGUCAAGCUUAAAAGAAUUGAGAAAUGGGCCUACCUUCAUGAUUCCAUCCACUAAAUAUCCAAACAGAAAAGGUGGAUUUAUGCUACAAGAGAUGUACUUUUUUAAUACCCUCUGAAUCUUACCUUUGUGAUUAGAUGGUUAUGCUCGUAGCAUUCAAUUUUGGGCAGGUAUGGAUCAGAACCCUGAUCAACAAGUACGUCAUUUAGGACAUCAAAUACUUUUCCUGGCAUUGCUUUUCCAUUGCAAAAGAUCUCACCUCAUAUAUGCAUUUUAAGGGUUAUAUAAACUCCAAGUGUAAUGUUACCAUGGAUGACAGUUACCACUCCAAGUGCUGAGGAAUCCUAGCACAAAACCUUGCAUCUUGAAUAUAGAAGGUGUGCACAAAACCAUAACCAGGAAUCCUAGCAAAUAUAUCAUGAACAGCAGGCUCGAUGAGAACAUUCAAAUGAUCAAAAGCAAAGCAACCUGAAAAGAAAGUGAAUGAAAGUCAGCAGAUCAAAAGCUAUGUCUGUUGCCAAACAGAGAUGGGAAUUAUGUAGAAGUACAUGAAAUAUAUUAGCCUAAGUGGCUAAUAGACAGCUUUAGGGAGAACUAAAUCAAGACCACCUUUGACACUCACAAAGAUAUGUUGCCAAAAAACAUAAAAUGAAUGAGCUAUCGAUGCUGUGAAAUCUUUAAGACUUAAUUUAUACACAAAAAUACAAAACUGUGUCACACAAAAAAUCCCUACCAUAAAAUACCAGUUAAUCAACUUGACAUGAAAAGGGGUUAUUGUAUCCAAUCAAUUAAAUAACCAGAAGACAAGUCCAAUGGUGUAUCCCACAUUCCCAUGAAUUCAUACAGCUCAUUUUAGUUUUGAAGCAAGCUCUUAAACAGGAAUUGUUGAUCAAUCAAAAUAUUUCUAUAAACUAAAGCCAGAGAACAUUUCCAAACUAUGGAAGAAAUUAUUCUACAAGUAUUGACUGUAUUGUACUCCUCAUACGAUCCUAAAGAACUUUCAACUAAUUACAUGUAGUCCAACAUCUUACUAUAUAUUAAUGAGAUGCUCAGAACAGAUCAGGACAAAAAAGUGCAUUCUAACCAUGAAUCGUACAACUUUCAUGGAAAGAAUUCUCUAGCAGGAUCUUUAAAAACUUCUAAAAUCCUCAGUACAUCGAGUUGCAAUUUUGCAUAAAUAAAUACUGUUCUCUAAGAAACAGGAAUGAAUAAUAAGAAAUGUCAGUGAUAGCAUAUGAGGCAACCGUGGAGGCGCAAUUGGCCGUGCCAACAAAAUGUAGAAAUGUGCUAUCGAUUGCAACUUAGUGAACAAAUCUUGGAGAAGACCAAUAGUUUAUUCGUUCAGACAAAAAUGACAGUUUUAAAUUCUAUACUGAGCAAUGGAAUUUUAUACAAAACCAUAUGCCUUUGAAGCAUGAAAAAAGGGUUUACUCCUAUGACCACCAAGAAAAAGGCAACACCAAAUGAGAUUGCAAUUUUAUACUGAUCGAUAGGAUUUUAGUACUGACCUGGCUAUAUGAAUCACUACAGUCUCUGUUCACUUGGUAAAAGAGUUCACAAUUCAAUUUAAUCCGCUUUGGUCACUACUCAUAUUGGAGCACUGUUCCACGUCACAAUCCUGGGUAUUUUGACUCUUAGGUAAUAGGCCUAAACAUAAAAAAGAUUGCAAUUAUCUUCCCUGAACAACUAAAGGACUCUCUUCUAGUGAACUAAUCUAUCACCAGGAGUUGUUGAGCUCUAGGUUCAACAGGUUAAAAAUAUUUCCCUCAAGCACGUAGACAAACAACAAUCUAAGCAAUAGAGCACAAGUCAGAACAUAACAGCUAGUUGACCCAACAGAGAGCAUUCUCGGGUCCUCUCCUGUCCAGAUCAUAUUAGUUUCAGAUCAAUUAUGUGUAUUAUCAUAUUAGUUUCAGAUCAUUUCAAAAGAUGCACAACAUGAUCGCUAAAAGGAAGAUCAAAUGUGAUAAUUUGAGUUCGUUUGUAGAAAUUAAAAAAUGCAUGCAGUUAUCACGACUAUCAUGAUGUAGAAUAUUGAUGCUAUGAAGGAAGGGACAUUUUAGAAUUUAUAGAAAAACAUCACACGAUCUAGCAGGAUAGAAACAUAUAAUAUACCUAACAAACCGAGACCCCAUAUGGCAAAAUCUUACCAUACAAAACCAGUCUACUAUGUUUAGCAGUACACAAGAUAAUUUAAUUAGUUCUCACUUAUGUCAAAAUCUAUUUCAGAACUAUUAUUUUUAAUGCAUCAGGUAUGCGUAGAAAUUUAAUCUAUUAGUCAUCUUGUCCGGCAGCUAACAUAUACAAAACAUGGACCCUUGUGAAAUAUCCAUGGAAACCACAAAUCAAAAGAAAAAAAAAGCAUGAAGGCACUGAGGCACAAAAGCAAGAGAAAAGGAUGCCACCAUGGAAUUCAUCGCCAGCAAGGCUACAUUUCAUAGAAUGGCUCUGCAAGUUCUUUGCGAUAGCCAAUAGCACGCACAUCAUUGUGUCACAUAUAGUGAACUAUAACGAUGGGCUUGCAUGCCAUGUUAUGUCUAAUGGUUUUUCAAAUCAGUUACAGUUGAACAAUAAUAGGAAUAUAUCUUUAAAAAAAUAUGAAAGGAAGAUUAAAUGGUAUUCAGCAACUUACUGUAAUGCUAUGCAGGAUAUCUGUCAAUUGUUGAAACGAUAACCUCUUUAAGAUGCAUCAAUUGCAAGGGAAAGCCUGUUUCCUUUCCUCCCUUCUGACGCGGCCCAGUCAACCUCUUUCUUCCUGCACCAGCCUGGCCUAGUGUGUCGGCCUCUUCCUCCUCCCACGAGAGCGCCGUAGGUAUAAAACCCCCCUUACAUGUACAGCUGUCAAUUAUUUAUUAUUUAUACGCAAAUAAAGAUCAGACAAACAUAUAUAUUUGUAGCAGAGUCCAUGUAUAUACCUUGAGACGAAUUUCAGGCCUGCUGAUCGAUUAUCAAUUGAUCUGCACAUUUGGACUGCAGUAAAAACAGAAGAAAAAAGAAAUCUCAGUCAAUAAACAAAGCCAACGUGUGGGAAUAUCCUGUAAAUUAGAACUAAACUGCACAUAGAUAUUAUACUGCUCUUCCUUCCUAAUAUCUGACCAUGUACCGACUUGGCUAUUCCCAGGAAUCGCAUGGGAAUGAUUAGAAGAAACCACUGUAUACAACUAUGAUAUGAAAUAUAUGAACCGUUCAUACCUAGAACUCUGCAUUGCAACAAGAUUACCUGACCAAACUGAUCCAAUGUAAACCUGAAAAAUGUAUCAAGCUUAACCAAUGUAAACAAAGAAAAAAAUUGAACGGGAUGCUCAUCAGCUGGGAUAACACCGGAUAGAAUAUAACCAGCUCACGGCCAUCAAGAAAGAAUGUCGACGGCAGCGGCAUGCAUGACAGGAGAUACUUAACGAUCUUCUCCACCGAGCAACAGCACAACCCAAGUCAUAUUAACAUGUCGCAUGAAUCUGGCAAGGCUAUUGAAUGAAGAGCACCCUGAGUUAAAUCUUAACAAGAGGGAAACAUAUCAGGUACGAAUAAAGGUUUUAUCCUAAUGAAAUUAUGUUGCUAGGCUAUCGAGAAAAAUAAAUUGUAUUUACCAUUAGCUUCCAGGUGUUGAUGAUCCAUCAAUAUGACCUGUUUUUUUUUCUCUCCAGAUAAGGGAUACCGUUCCUUUCAGCAGAUUUUUGUGAUCCAAGCUGACAAUUGCCUUUAGAAUUGCUGGCAUCAGAUGUCCUAGGAUCAACUGUUACCACUGAAGCUUCGAUUUACCUUUCCUCAACAGAUGUGGAGGCUCCAUUGCUGGAUGGUUUUCCAUUAGUAAUACCAGAAGCAACUGAUAGAAUAUAGUCACUAUCAAAGGAUGCCCCAACUUUUCAAGACCAUAAAAUCUCAGCUGCUUUAUAGUCAAUGGCUCAUUUUGUUCAGCGCUGAGACUCUGUUUUGUCCUUAAGUGGUCAGUAAACUACUCGACCGUCACUGAGGGUUCAGAACAGAUUUUGGAUAUACUCCUUUGCUUCUAAAAAUGUCAGUCAUCCCAUUUGUUUGGGGAACACAUCUCAAGAAGGAAACCAUGCCUCAAGGGGAUUACUCUCUAAUAUAUAGCUUGACUGAAGUUCUGUCCUGGUGCCAUGCAGUUCACCUUGCUCAGUACUACUGUCGUGCUUGCUCAGUACUUUUGGAUACACUUCUAUGCCACAUCCAGAUUAUGCCGUGCUGCUUCAAUGUCUAUGUAACAUGUUUCCCUCUCCUUCACUGUUCCAUCAGAUUACAGAAGUGCUGUUUUUGCUACCUUCUGAGGAGAAACCUGGGCUGUUUGUGAGCUGGUCUGUUUGAUCAUUCUUCACAGGCUUACCAUUCCCAUUUAAUGAGCCAUUUUGUGUAUCCACAGUCUCUCAGCACAAGUGACAUGCUGCUUCCAUCUCGAGACCAUCACAUAUGUCCUACCAUUCCCUUCCUGGCAAUGAAGAUAAAUGGGCUUCUUCACACUAUCAGACACAACUUCUGUCAAUCGCUGAACCUGUUUGGCAGAGGGUGCAGUCCCAAUCUCAACAGGUAUAUUCACCACCUCUAUCUUUCCCAGUGAGACAGCUUCCUGAACUGCCAAAAGAUAUAAAUCAUCUUUAACAUCUUCCUCCCAGAGAUCAACUAUAAUUUUGAAUCCCUUUGACAAUAACCAUUCUAGUUUCUCCCCGCUGAAUUGUCCUCCCCUCCAAAAUGCAACCUCAACAGUCUAUCUCAUCUGAUAGCCAAAAGAAUUAGACGCCGCAUCAACCCAGCAAGCAGUGCGCCAAGGUCCGCUCCGCAGAUGUUCGACGAAAUGCUCACAAGCAGCAGGAGAUCGAACCAACGAACCUGGCAGUCGAGCCCGAUCCGCGAGCUGAAGAACGACGCCCACGCGGCGACGACACCAUGCCGCGCGCCACCACCACCUCCCGAAGACACCAUGAAGCGCAGGAAGGGAAGGAGAAGAACGCGGUGGCGGGUGGCGACGGGGAAGGGGACGGAGUUGGCCGCGACGGCGUCGACGAGUGAGGCCGUGACGCGGAGGGGAUCGGGAGGCGGCGCGGCGCUUCCGCCUCAACUCCGAGCGCCUAAGCCACAGCCGCCGCCCCACCACGCUCGAGCGCUGGCCCUACUCGCCGCCGCCUCCACUCGGACUCGCCGUAGCAGCCGCCGCCUCGGCCGCGCCGCCACCGCCGGCAGCAACGCCGCCGCGGCGACUGAACGGGGAGAGGGGAAUCGACACGUCACACGCCACACGCCUCUCCCUUCCCCAAAUCGACUUGACCCAAAACCACCGGACCGGACCCUUGUGCUAGGUGACUGACAUGUGGGCCAACCACCGGAGCGCAGGGCUGGGCCCACCUGUCAGCGAAGUGAACGGAGCGAGCAUGAGGUGACCUCGCCGGCGCAGCCUCCUCCCGCCGAGAGGGCUGACAAGCUGGAUUUUUCACAUUUUGGUCCUUUAAAAAACUUAUUUCGCAAAUAGACCCCUGGAAAAAUUUAUCCAGAAAUAGUCCUUUUUGGGGCGCCAGAGUGGCUGGCGCCGUCGUCCAACUGGACGGCGCCAGCCUCUCUGGCGCCGUCCCCCUGCCGACGUGGCGGGGCGAUGCUGAGGUGGCUAGGGGGAGCGCGCCAGAGUGGCUGGCGCCCCCCCCCCGAAAUUUUUUAUUUUUGUUUUAUUUGUUUGAUAUUUUUUUCACGCUUAAGGACACACAAGAACCAACCAUAGAAAAAAUGAACUCAAAUGGACGUAAUAUGUGACCUAUAGAAUUUUUCCUCUCCUCUCCUCUCUCUUCGAACUAGUGCAAACGAGAGAGAUGUGCAACUUUUUUAUUUUUAUUUUAUUUUUUUAAUAUUUUUUUCACACUUAGGAACUCAUAAGAACCAAACAUAUAAAAAAUAAACUCAAACGGACAAAAUAUGUGGCUUGUGGAAUUUUUCAAAGCUCUACCGAAAAAUUUCUCUACUCGAAAACACAAUCUUGCAAGCGGAAUUUGGAGGUUUUAAUAUCGCCGAACCCGGCAAAGAUGGGGAAAAUCGGAUGUAACUUUUUCAAAGCUCUACCGAAACAUAUAAAAAAUAUAUGUUUGAAAAUAUAUAAAAAAUAAAAAUUCCACAAGCGGAAUUUGAAAAACUUUUUUGAUAUUUUUUUCACACUUAGGAACUCACAAGAACCAAACAUAUAAAAAAUAAACUCAAACGGACAAAAUAUGUGGCUUGUGGAAUUUUUCAAAGCUCUACCGAAAAACUUCUCUACUCGAAAACACAAUCUUGCAAGCGGAAUUUGGAGGUUUUAAUAUCGCCGAACCCGGCAAAGAUGGGGAAAAUCGGAUGUAACUUUUUCUGUAGAUGUCCGUGGAUAUAUUAUUUGCCUGAUUUCGAGUCCGUAUGAGAAAGUUACGCCUAUUUUAAUAAAUGACACUCGAAUGACUUUUCGGUAGAGCUUUGGAAAAUUCUACAAGUCACAUAUUUUGUCCGUUUGAGUUUAUUUUUUCUAUGGUUGGUUCUUGUAUUCUCCUAAGUGUGAAAAAAAUAUCAAAAAAAUAAAAAUAAAAAAAACUGUAUCUCUCUGUACUGUUUAACUUAUGGCUAUCAUUUCAUGUGGUUAUAUUUUGAAUUAGAGAUUAAGUAAUUUCAUAUAGUUGUAGAGUGCAUUAUGUUUAACAUGCUGAUCAAAGGGUUUUACUAAAGGAGUUAUGGUCUAAUUUUGAUGAAGGUGCAAAGUAGGCUAAGUGGUAUGCUAUAUUUCGUUCGAGUUUAUAUUUUUUUCUGUGGUUGGUUGUAUCGUGAUCCUAAGUGCGAAAAAACAUCUAAAAAAAUAAAACAAAAAUAAAAAGGUUACAACUCUAUAAGAAAUAGGAAUGGAGGCGAGGGGUGAUGGGGGGAUAGGGCGGCGCCAGCAUGGCUAGCGCCCUCCUCUCUAGGGCGGCGCCAGUCAUGUUGGCGCCCUCCUCCUGCCACGUCGGUUCGCGUAUGCCACGGUGGCAGGAGGACGGCGCCAGAGAGGCUGGCGCAGUCCCGUUGUACGACGGCGCCAGCCACUCUGGCGCCUAAAAAGGACCAUUUCUGGGAUAAGUUUUUCUAGGGGUCUAUUUGCGAAAUAAAUUUUUAAAAGGACCAAAAUGUGAAAAAUCCAGGCUGACAAGUGGGCCAACCAACGUCGUCCACAUGGGACUGGGCCCACCUGUCAGCGAGACAGAUUUGAACUGCGAAGGCCCCCACCUCGCCGGAGAGAGCACCUCCCCCCUAUAAAAUGCCGUGCCUCGACUCCCUUGCUUCUUCGUGGCUGGCUCACCAACCAAUCUGCCGCGGCGUGAUCGGUUCGCAGCUUGGGCGUCUCGGAGCCGGAGCGGCGUGAACGCCUCCUCCCGCGGCGCGGGUUCGGCGUCUCGGAGGCGAGCGGCGGUGAACACCUCCUCCCGCGGCGCAUCGAUCUUCCUUGGCCGGCCACCACCAGACCAGGUACGAGCCCAACUAUCCCACCCACUCGACGCCGCCGGAAAAACACCACCGCGUCGACGAGUGGGUGGGUGGUGUUUUUCCGGCGGCGUCGAGUGGGUGGGUGACUGGGUGGUGUUUUUCCGGCGGCGUCGAGUGGGUGGGUGGUAUUCUGUUGUUAGGCGCGGCGAGUCCCCGUCGAGUCGUGGUGUGACUGGUGUCCUCGGGGGUGUGGGCUUGGUGGGGGUCAGCUCUAGGGCAGAAAUGGAGGUGAGCGAGCGGUUCGUCUCGGGUGGGUGGUGGAGGCGCGGGGUCUCAGAUUGUGUAGCCGCAUGCAUUGGUCGCCGGAGAGUUGCAAGGAGGUGGAGGUGGAGACGAUUUGGGGCGGUGAAGAGCGGCGCGAGGCGAGCACGAAGGGGAGUCGGCGAUGCGGUACGGGUCGCACGGCGUCGACGCGUAGGUCAUGUUCUCCGGGGUGGCGAGUCCGCGUCGUGUCGUGGUUUAUGCGGGGGCAGCGUGGUGGCGGAGGGCGCAGUCGCGGAGAGGCGAAUCGCCGUGUGGUGCGGAGACGGUGGGCGGUGGAGGGGGUCGGGGAUAGUGCGACUGCUCGAGCACGAUCCGACUUGGGAUGGUGACGUUUCUGGUGUUCGUCGGCGCUCCAGCGAUCGAACAGCAGAGAGGGCGUGGUGUUGGUACGGCGGGUUCGCCACGUGUGGGCGGCGUAACCGCGGUGUAGCUAACUGGGAGGCGACCGCCGACGAGGCUCGGUGGUCUCGCGGAGGGCGCGGUGGCGAGGGGCUGGCGUGUCGACGAUGGAGGCGCGCCGCGCACACGGCGGCGUGGCGCGGUGGCAAGGGACUCGCGUCGACGGUUGAGGCGCGGCGUUUGCACUGCAUGGAGAGGCUGAGUGGCCUGGCGGGGUGGCGAGGGGGCUUGCGUCGACGCGCUCUGGUACGCGUGUCUUCGAAAAUGGCAAGAGCGGGGUUCGAUUUCCCAUGUUCGCAGGCGGUAGAUUAGGUUGUCCACGGUGGCCGCGCUUCGGAUUUAUGGCGCGCAGCUACUAUUGACCGUGCGCUGCAAGGCGGUGAGCUAUGUCAAUUGUCGUGGCGAGGAGGUGGCAGCGACGAGUUUAGGCGGUAGCCUUGGAAACCCAAGAGAGGGAGCAGGGACACUAUGUCAAUCUUCGUGGCAGAGCGGCAGAGGCAGUGCACGCGACGCGAUCGCGCCCUGGCGCGCGUUGGCACGGCUAGGCUUGGAGGAAGGCCUGGGGCCUCGGUGAACGGCGGCCAUGGUGGCGGCGCGCGCGCGAAGGCCGAGUAGCCUGACGCGCGGUGGAGAAGUGCUCGCGUCGAAGGUGAAGGCGGCGCGUGCACGGAAGCCGAGCGGCAUGGCGCGGUGGCGAGGGGAAUGGCGCGCGUACAGACUACAUAGGGCGAGCGGCGUGUCGCGGGCGGUGGCGAAGGGCUCGGGUCGACGGCGGGGAAGGUGUGCACCUGACCUGAUUGCACAUGGGGGCGUUGGCUCUCUGGAAGAAGGAACGCGUAGAUGAUCCAGGCAUCAAGCUCGGAGGGUGGCAAGCAGUCAGGAACGUCGAGCCUAGCUGGAGGUGUCGCGCCGCCUUGCCAGGAAGAGAAUGACGGCGGCUACCACCUCUGUUGCAACCAAUUGGAAAAAUAGAAUGAAUGGACGAUGAGAAAUGUGUGUUUUCUCUACUGUUGUGUGAAGAAACUUUGUAUAUUUUGCCUAUCUCACACUUAUCCAUUCCUACUCAAAUCUAAUCUUCAAUGUGUUAUAACUACAGGUGUCAACCAUGAAAGACGAUAACACUAAGUCUUUUCUGAACAAGGUGAAGGAUUUUUGGACUGAGAUCACAACUAGAGAGUCGCAAGUUGUGAAAAAUAACAAUGCGGAUGAGGUAGGUGCCUAAUAUGUUUUUUCUAUGUUAAAAUUAAUUUCGUAUAAGCUUCAAUUGAUUCUAGACUGAGUUCAUUUUUUCACACAGAUUGAAAAAAACAACAAGAAGCGUUCAGGACUCUACCGCGACCUAAUUGUGAUGUUCGCGCUGGGUAGUGUAUUUUGGAGUGGCGCGAAAAAAGCACUUUCUCAGCUAAAGGGUUGGGUUUUUUGUGUCGCCAGUGUAUACAUCAACUUCGCGCUAAUCUCCAUGAUGGUAGGGGCUGCGGCUGGUACCUUGCCAGAUGUCUUUAGAUGUCACAUGGGCCUCUCGGGCAAUGGCGUGCUUCAAGGACUUCUCUUCAAUAUCAUAGCCUUCAACUAUGAAUUAUUCACAACCUUGUUGCCCGGUUCCUUAGUUAAGCUGUCCCAGAGAGUUAUGUACUGGGUUACAGGAGCAACAAGUGCUAUUGCAGUAACAGUCAUUUGGACGUUGGCCACGGAAGACCCCCUGGUAUGUACCUGCAGUACAACUCUUUCAAUAUUAGUCUAAUCCACUGGUACGUACUCUGCUAAGUAUCCACUGGUAAUUAGUCUAAUCCAUUAAAUUGGUAUCUUCCAUUUACUGUAGUGUGCUCUGGUUGUUCUGAGGAUAAUUGGGCGCUUCUUGCGAUGGAUCUGUGUAGCCAUUUGUUCUUGCUUUCCUGAUUUCAGGUUUGAAAACUCCACACAUAUCAUUUGUUGUUUGGGAUGGUACGGUGUUUAACUAAACUAGAAAGGUAGCCCGCGCAUAUGCGCGGGCAUCUUAUUUAAUUGUAUUAGAAAUUUGAUUAAGAAUGUUUAUGAUUACUCAAUUGUAAACAUAUUUAAUUUUUCAAUAAUUUGUGUGGUGUUUCUCUGAAUGCUGAAUGCUAGUAACCAUCGCCGACAUAUAAAUUCUAAACUAAAAUUACUUGAAACCAUGCCUUUUUGGUUUUAUAAGAAAAAAUAUAUAUGAAACUAUAUAUCAUUUAUACAUAGAUAUUUUCUAUUAAAAAUAUGGCUAAUACGACUACAUCAUCUAAUUAAAAGAGCUAAAUAUGUUGAAAUGUUGAUUUAAUUGUAAGUAUAUAGUAUUAAAUUAUGAAACUGCGGUUUAGCGAUAAAUGUUUUUCUCAAUCAGAAAAUAUAUUACAAAAUGAGACUUUUAUUGCUCCCAAGUUGUAGUUUAGGGUUGUAUACUUUGAACUGAAAUUGUGUUAGAUUUUGUUUCCAACAUAAUGCCGAAAAGUCAAAAUUCCUAUUAUAUUUUAUUUAAAAUUUUAGUUAUUUUCAUUAUAUCAGUACUCCUAAAAUUAAAAUAUUUGAACAUUGAGAAUGGGUUUCAAAUAAAAAAAUGUUAAAUUUAGAAAAGAAAAGUUCAGUCUUCAAUUAUUUUUAUCAUGUUAUUAUUAUUUUUCUAGAUUUCCAUUCAUCCAGCAUCCCUUAAAUGUUUUGAUCUCUGCAAGUUGAAAUAGAAAUAUAAGUGGGUUAAAACCAUAUGACUUGGCAUGGGAUAAAGGCAUCCUUAAAUGUUUUCAAUCUGUUGUCUAUGACAAAUAUAUCCUAGACGGGUACACGUUAUGACAUAAAAAAAUGAUAUAAUUAAAUUUUUUUUCUCUAAUCUAUUAGUGGCAUCAGAUAUCAUAUGUACAAUUUAGAUGUUAUGAUCAUCUUAGGAACGUUUAUUUAUCUCUAAAAAGAUCAUUUAUUCAUAAAAGCGCAUCUAAGAUCAAGUAUAAGUAAAUAGCCCCAAUAUGCAUGUUAAGAGAAAUUAACUACUUCCACUAAUGAGGAAAAAUAUAUCAAUAUUUAUAACAUCAAAUUAUAUUUAUCGAACUCAAAAUUUAAUAUGCUUUUAUAAUAUAAUUGUUUUAUGUUGCAAAUGUUACUAUGUUUUUUAUAAACUAAUUCAUGUUUUUUAUAAACUAAUUCAAGUAAUUUGACAUAGACAAAAUUUAAAAUGGCUUGUGAUUUAAAACAUGAGGAGGAAAAAGGUCAUUAGAUGUCUAGCAUGGUAUAAAUAAUGGGUUGACCCUUUUUAAAAAACACAAGGUGGGAUAUUUUAAUUUUUAAUGAGAAAUUUUAGUAUUUUAUUUUAUUUAUUGGAGGCUUCAGGGUGGAUAGAUGUGGUCUACAAUGCAAGUCAAUACGCAUAUUAAAUUAUUGAUUUAAUUGAAAAUUACAAUAGUUUAGAAAUAUCAUAAAUUGAAUAUACGCUAUACAAAUUUAUGAUUAUUUUAAAGUCUAAUUUAUGUUUUUUACUAUAAGUGCUAGCUUGAGGAGAAAGCUAGCUAGACUGGUUAGGCAGAGUCUAUUUGUGGGAGUUUUUUUUUCCCGUAAAGAUAAUUUUGGAUUUAGUUGCUAUGGAGAUAAAAAGACCAUAGAAGGAAUAGUAGGGAGAGAGGAACAGGAGGGAGUGAGUUUUGGGAUUUUCUUUUAAAGGGAGACCUAACCAUAUAAGAUAUUGGAUCCAUCGAUUUAAGUGGAAACAAUGGUUAGAUAUUUUAUUUUCAUUUGUCACACUUAUAGAUUUUUUUUAAUUUAUUAAAGUGUUACGUGGCGAUCGACUUACAAGCGUUCAUGGGCAUACCAUUAGGCCCAGACAUUUGUAGUUAGAACGGCUGCACGAUCUAAUUUUUAGAUAACAAAAUAUGAGCAAUAUGGAUUUUAAAUUUUAUAUUUCAUUAUAAAUAACACAACAAUUGACAAAAACUGAGAAUAAAAUUGUAACUUGGGAGUUAUGAUCAUUUAGAUGUCCGAAUUAAUUUUUGAUAUAUUGAGUGUUAACUAAAAAAUAGGACAGGAGGGGCGAUUCAGAGGGUCGAAGGAGUACAUACUGCAUUUGUUUUUUUAUCUCAUGUAAGUAAGGUGUUGAUGGUUGGGAUACCAGAUUUAUUUUCUUCGAGAUGGUGAUCUAAUGGUUAAAAUUAACAGGUCCAUCAAUUCAAAUGAAAAUUAACGGUGUGAUUAUAGAAUACAACGUGACGAUCUAGAAGCAUUUGUAGAAGCCAUGUGGCGGCCGAGAGCGUUUAUAGGAAAUUUAAUUGGUUUUUAGUAUAAAAACUCAUUGAGCUUCCUAUAAACACUCUUAAGCCAUCACGUGGCACUCAUAUAAACUCCCGUAGGUCACCACAUGUCAUAUCUCUAAACUAAAAGAAAUAUUAAAAAUUCUGAGAAAAAAAUAUCUAAAUCGGUAAAAUGUGAUUUUAUAUCUAUUAACACUUCCUUCUAAACUCCCAUCGUGUACUUACUAUAUGCGUAGUAGUAGUACUGUUUUCCGAAGGUGUAAACGAAACGUACUGUUUGCAAAAAAAAAAAAGGCGAAACAAAUAAUACUUACGUAUAGUAACGUAUGUACGCCAGUGGAAAAAAAAAGAACGUACAUACCCUGCCCGAUCCUCACCUGAUCCCAAUUUUGGUGUACGUUCUCCUCCUAUUUCUUUUUCUAUAUAUAUUAGUUAUAGCAAACAUGUCAUUUUUUUUUCAAAAAAAGUGGGAUACCAGAUUUAUUUUUUUUAUGGAGAUCUAAUGGUUAAAAUUAACGGGUCCACCGAUUUAAAAGAAAAUCGACGAUGAGAUUAUAGAAUGUCACGUGGCGAUCUAGGAGCGUUUGUAGGAGGCCACAUGGCGAUUUGAGAGCGUUUGUAGGAAGUUUAAUGGACUUUUAGUAUAUAAUAGAUAGAUAGAUAGAUAGAUAGAUAGAUAGAAGAUAGAUAAUAGAUAGAUAGAUAGAUAGAUAGAUAGAUAGAUAACCCCGUGGCUCUUGCAGGCACCCGAAAAAGAUGUCGAAGAGUGCAGGGCACAAAGGCACGACCAAUCAGUAAGUAUAAAUAUUGUCAUUAAUCAUGUCCCUCAUUCUUUGGUAGGCCCAGCACAAAAUUUGUACACUCCCACUUAAAUCCAUGCGUUGUCUAGUAGUAACAGUAUUGUUUACGCAAACAGGGAUCUUGCAGCUGCUCUGGUGGGGACCAAUCACUCACAAGUCUGAUGUGGUACCCAAGAAGAGACCAACUGAUAGUACAGUUACUCUGACUGACAUGAUCAGCAUAGAAGAUUCAUCCUAUAUGGAGUACUCCUGCUAUAGAUGCAUACUCCUACUCCCAUCCAGUCCUCUAUUUGUUGACGUUUUGAAGCUGGGCUUUUUGGCUUCAAAAGCUUGACGCUUUCGUCUCCACAUACUCACUUUGGACGCUACUCCUGCUUUAGAUGUUUUAGGUGUACUACUGGUACUGGCAGGGAGCAUAGGCCAGUACCAUGAGAUUUGCCAGAUUGAAACCUUUUGUGUUUCGUCCUAUGUGUUGGGUGGAUUUGUCAUGACAUGUCAGGCUGCACCCUCCAGCAGAGACGCGGCCACGUUUAAUUUCAGACCAUUUUGCUAAUGAAAUUUUAGACCAUGUGACGUUGAAAUUCAGAUUUGAUCAAAUCUAAAAAUAAUUAACUUAAAGAAAAAUCAAAACUAUCUAUAAUAUAAAAUGAAAGUAGUACACCAUUUAACAAUCAGCACGGAGGAUGACGUUGGCACGGGGAGAGGUGCCAACGCUGGGUCGAGCCUGGCUUCCUCGGCUCCUCGCUCCCGUUUGACACCAGCGGCUGGUGGCCAGCUCGCGGAUGCAAGGCAGGGUGCUCCUAAUGCACGGGUGAUCGCUCCCAACGACCAACCCGUCCUUCCCCUAUACUCCUCUCCCUUCUCUCUUUUCAUCAUAAAUUUCAAAAAAAAAACAAAGUUAGUAAAAAAAUUAGAAAAAAUAUAAUACUCUCAUUCAUGUGCAUAUAUUUUAUACCGUAAACUUUGCACGCAUAAACUUUAUAAUAGAAAUAUUCUAUAUAUAAAAUAUUUGAAUCCUAAUUUGAAUUUGAAUCGGGUAUAUAAACUUUUGACUUAUAAAUAUAUUCACUCUAUAAACUUUAGGUGGAUAAACAUUAGAUGUGUAAACUUUAGGUGUAUAAACUUACUAAAAGAGGAAAAUAAUGUGCGCAUAAACUUUGUGUAUAGAAAUAUUCUAUAUAUAAAAUAUUUAAAUCCAAAUUUAAAUUUGAAUCGGGUAUAUAAACUUUUAAUCUAUAAAUUUUAGGUGCGUAAACUUUAGAUGCAUAAACUUUAGGUAUAUAAACUUACCAAAAUGAUAAACUAUAUGGAGAAAAAAGAAGAAAAAAUAGUGGGAAAAAAGGCGAUUGGCGAUCGAUCGCUAAUUAGCGAUCUCGCUCUUUGCAUGCUCAGGCUAGGUCUUCACCAAGCGGCACCGGUGCGUCCAUCGGCGGCAAACACUGGAGCAGAGAUUUUUUUUUCUUUUUAUGUGUGUGUGCCGGUGAGGCCACUUGGGCUAAUAGAGGGUUAUAAGAAGGCUGAAUGCUGAGGUGGAUGAGGGAGGAGAGGGGAGGGACGAGAAGCGGGCUGUAAGCUUAUAGCCGGCUUAGACAUAUGUGCCAAGAAAAUCUGUAAGACAGACAGGUGGACCAUAUAUUUAUAGUGAAGAGCUAACCACUAUAUGAGUGAGUUGAGAGAUAGGCUAUAAAGAUCUAUACAAUAAGCAGUUGGCUAUAUUAUUAGCCUUGCUCUAAGCGCAAUUCUAGCUUGGUUUUCAUGAUGCUGCUGGAGGCUCCGGUUGGUGAAAUGUCAGAUCCUAGGAGUAGAACAAAUUCAGAAAACAAGAUCACCAGAGCACAAUUUUUCCCCUGAAGGUGGAUGCCGCAAGACUAUUCUAGGGUUCUAGAUAUUUUCUACUCCUAAAGACAAAUGAUAUGGUGUUCGAUGCCUCUUUCAUUCAUUCUCCAAAGUAUUUAAGCUUACAAAGUGAGGACCACAGCUCACAUCACCAGAAUACAGCUCAUUCAGAGAAAAAGAGGAAGAAACGGACAUAAUAUGGGCCACAGUGGUCCCCGACAAUCAUCUACGGUCAGAUGUCGCUUGUACCUCUUCGGAAUUAAUCCUGGCCAUAGGAUCUUCAUAGACGCAGGCUUUGCUUUCCCCUCUCCCUAAAUCGAUCAAUCUCUGAAAUUCUAACUGAACAACUGAAUCUUCAGACUUCCCCCUAUUCUGAUCCCAGGUCUUGACAAUACCUUCCCCUUGAGAUUAUCCUUGUCCUCAAGGAUGAAAUGUUGGAUACAUGCUUUGAAUCACAGCAGCAUCCUCCCAUGUGGCAUCUGCUGGUCCCAAAUUUUCCCACAGUAUCAACCAUUGAGUUACUGCUACUCCAUUUCUGGGAAUCAUCCUCCUCUGCAAUACAGCUACAGGUUGUGUUUUGAUCUGUCCAUCAGGACCCAUAGAAGGCAGAUUAGACAUAGGCACUGCUCUUUGACCCAAGUGCUUCUUCAACUGACUUACAUGAAACACAGGGUGUAUACUGGCAUCCUCUGGUAGCUGUAAUUUAUAGGCCACUUGACCUAUCUUCUCCAGUACCUUAAAUGGUCCAUAAAACUUAGAUCUCAGCUUCAGUGAUCCCCUGAUACCAAAUGCAGUUUGUCUGUAGGGCUGCAGUUUAAUGUACACCAUGUCCCCAACAUUCAGACUCCUUUCUGUCCUGUUUCGGUUGGCAUAAUGUUUCAUCCUUCUUUGAUCCUCAGUCAGACUUGCUUUCAAUUUCUGCAAAAUGGCCUCUUAUUGCUCAAUUGUCACCUUGCCUCAGCAGACACAUUGCAAGAAAUUGAAAAUUCAUUGAUUUGUGGAGGUGGAUACCCAUAAAGAGCUUGGAAUGGUGUCAUCUGAAGGGAUGUAUGAUAGGUGGUGUUGUACCACCAUCCUGCCAAGGAUAGCCAAGAAUACCAUUGAUGUGGCUCCUGAAAUGUCAUGUUCCUCAAAUAGGAUUCAAGGCACUGAUUGACUCUUUCAGUUUGCCCAUCUGUUUGUGGGUGGUAUGAAGUACUGAAUCUUAGCUGAACCUUCAUGCUUUUAAAUAUUUCUUGAAAUAGUUGGCUGGUAAAAAUCCUGUCUCUAUCUAUGAUAAUUGCCAUAGGCAUCCCAUGCAGUCGGUGUAUAUUGUUCAUAAAUAUCUCCACCACCUGUUCCACACUGUAUGGGUGUGACAAAGCCAGAAAAUGAGCAUAUUUUGUCAACCGAUCCACCACCACUAGUAUGGCAUCUUUCCAUUUCGACUUAGGCAGCCCUUCUAUAAAAUCCAUAGUGAUAUGUGUCCAUGCCAUGUCUAGAACCUCUAGAGGAUUUAAUAGACCAGGUAUAUGUAUAUGUUCGACCUUAGUGAUCUGACAGACAGGGCACUCCCUGAUGAACAUCUCCACUGUCUUCUUGAGACCUGGCCAAUAAAACAAAGCUUUGAUUCUAUGAUGUGUUGCCCUCAUCCCUGAAUGACCCCCAAAAGCAGAACAAUGGUAAUCUCUAAUUAAGUUAGUUCUGAUAGAGGUCUCUUCACCGACAUAUAUUCUUCCCUUGAAUCUUAAAAUUCCAUUUUCAAAACUGUAGUGUUGAUCAGGAUCACUAUUGGUUCCAAUCAUACUCAAAAUUUUGUGAGCCUGCACAUCACCUUCAUAGCUAUUUUGAACAUCAAUGAUCCAUUUAGGUAUAACCACUGUAAUUGCAUUACAUAUUUCAGUUUGAAGCUGAUCUUGGGGAAGUCUUGACAGAGCAUCUGCCACCACAUUGUCUUUGCCAGCCUUAUACUCAAUUAUAUAGUCAUAUUCCAUCAGUUUUAACAGCAGCUUGUGCUGAAUUCCCUCAACCAGCCUUUGGUUCAUCAUGUGCUUCAAGCUUUGUUGGUCAGUUUUGAUAACCAGCUUACUGCCCAGGAAGUAAUGCCUCCACUUCUUCAAAGCCUCCAAUAUUGCCAUGGCUUCUUUUUCAUAAAUUGAUUGAGCUGCAGCUUUAGGACCAAGAGAUUUGCUGUAAAAAGCUAUGGGUCUGUCACCCUGCAUAAGUACAGCUCCUAUUCCAGUACCACAUGCAUCAGCCUCAAUUGUAAAUUCUUUGGAAAAGUCAGGCAAGGUCAGGACAGGACUGCUACACAUUUUCUGUUUAAGAAACUUGAAAGCCUCAGUUUGUUUCUCUCCCCAUUGAAAGCCUUCUUUUUUCAGCAUGUCAUGUAAUGGUCUGCAAAUUAACACAUACCCUUGUAUAAACCUUCUAUAAUAUCCAGUCAUACCCAGGAAUUUCCUGAGAUCUGUCACAUUCUUAGGAAUGGGCCAGCUGACAAUCUUCUCAACUUUGCCUGGAUCAGUGGCUACACCAUUUUGUGAUAUAAUAUGUCCCAAAUAAGACACACUGGACAGACCAAAAGCACACUUCUUGGGUUUGAUCACCAGAUUGUUUGCCUUCAGCACUUGCAGUACCAGCCUGAUAUGUUCUUUAUGCUCUUCCCUGUCUUUGCUAUAGAUAAGUAUAUCAUCAAAGAAAACCAAUACGAAUUUCCUAAAGAAUGGUGCUAACACUUGGUUCAUAAGUGAUUGAAAUGUGGCAGGGGCAUUAGUGAGACCAAAGGGCAUGACUUGAUACUCAUAGUGUCCCAAAUGGGUUCUAAAUGCAGUCUUGGGAAUGUCAGGUCUCGACAUCCUAAUCUGAUGAUACCCUGACAUGAGGUCCAACUUAGUGAAAAUUUUAGCUCCAUUCAAUUCGUCCAACAAGUCUUCAAUUAUAGGCAUUGGAAAUUUGUUCUUCACUGUUUGUGCAUUUAACUGUCUAUAGUCAACACACAAUCUCCAGGAACCGUCUUUCUUUCUCACCAUUACAGCUGGUGAUGAGUAGGGACUAUUGCUAACCUGAAUCUCCUUGGAUUCAAUCAGUUCAGCAAUAAUUUUCUCCAUGGCUUCCUUUUGAUGAUGAGGUACACGAUAGGGCCUGAGGUUAGGGGGUAUAGCUCCAUCCUUCAAAGUAAUAACAUGAUCACACCCUCUCUGAGGUGGAAGGCCUUUUGGUUUUUCCAAAACAGUAGGAAAUCUUUGCAAUAUAUCUUGAAUAUCAUCAGGAAUGCUGAUGCUUUCUUCCACAUCACUCUCUUCUGCCACUUGGGUGAUUUGAAACAAAUAUCCCAGACCACCUUUCCUGAUAAUUUUGUCCACCUUACUGCUAUCAACUAACAGAUGUUUCCCAGUAUUAGUGAAAUCUUGUAAGGUGAUCACCUUUUCUCCCUUAGUUAUACCCAAUUCCCUUUUCUUCAAAUCAAGAGUGAUUGGGCUAUAUUUGUAAAUCCAAUCAGCUCCCAAUAUAAUGUCAUACCCCUUCAAAGGUAUCAAGUUAAAUUUGUUGGAGAAAGUUUCACCCUGAAUUUGGUACAGAAUGUCAGGGACUUGUACUUCUGAUUUGAGCUCUCCACCCCCUGCCACAACAACUUUCUUAGAAUCAGUAGAUACCAGAGGACAAUCAUUACGUAUAGCAUACUCCUGAUCCAUGAAAGUGCUUGGACUUCCACUGUCUACCAGCCCUACUGCCCUUCUUCCAUUGAUUUGUAUAAUCACCGAGAACGUGUCCGGUCUGGUAGCCCCUUGCAUAGCAUUCUGUGACACAUACAUCAGUUCCUCCUGAUCAAUUUCUUCAGGUGCAUGUUCAGUUUCUUCCAAGACUUUCUCCUGUGCCUUCUUUUCCCUGCCUACUUCCUCAGUUCCUUCAUAUUCCUCCUCCUCCAAAAGUAGUGCAUUUAGUGCCUUCUUCACCUUGCAUUGAUGUCCAGGAAACCAUGCUUCCUUGCAAAACCAGCAUUUUUUUCUCUCCAUUCCCUUUGUUUGGUCCCUUGUUCCCAGUAUUCCUUGCUUGGUUAGUCACAACUUGGUUUUGUGGACGAUUCCUAAACAGAUUCAGAGACAUUCUUCUAGCAUUAGCAGCCCUUUCAUAGUUUUUCGCAAACCAAUAUGAUUCCAGUAACCCCUGUGGUUUGUGCCCACUCACAUCAUGCUUGAUGUCACUUCUCAACCCCCCAAUAAAACAGCUGUUGAGGUAUUGCUCCUGCAAGUAUGGAUGGUCCCUUCUCACCAAAUCCAUGUAUUCUUCAAAUUUGUCAAUAUAAUGUUCCACAAUUUGUCCAUGUUGUUUCACAUUUUGAAAAAGUUCCAUUGCCUCAUGCACAUCUGCUGCAGAAAAACUGGUGCAAACCAUAGCACACCAUUGUGGCCAAGUGAUCACCUGCCAAGGAAGACCAAUUCCCCUAUACCACUUGAGUGCUCUGCCCUGUAAAUGUGCCAAAGACAGGUUGACCCAUUGCUCCACUGGAGUUCCAGUGAUCUCGUAAAAUUUUUCACACUAUUUCAGCCAAUCAAUUGGAUCUUCUCCACUAAACAGAGGAAUCUCCAAUCUGGGGCCUUUGAUGACAGCUUCAGCAUAAUGGUUUCCAUCAGCUCCCUGUCCUCCAUAUAGACCCCUAUUCUGAUCCAAGAUAUGUACCCCAGAAUUCCCCUGAAACCUUCUAGGUAUUCCUCCCACACGGUCAAACCCCUGCUGACUCCCAUUUCCAAACACAUUAGGCCGAUGAGUGCCCAUACUAGUGUCAAACACCCAACCAUUCAUUACAGCCGCUGCAUCCUGAGGCCCCCUUGAACUACCAACUCCCUCAACAGAAAUGGUGUUGUGUUCAAUGGCAAAACGUACCUCAGGAGGAUUCCCAGCAGUGGGAUUGCUUGGUCCUGCACCCCCAGUAUCUGAACUAACAGUUUUGUUAGCCUUUUCAGCCGCAACAGCAGCAACUGCUGCAUCUGUGUCACCGUCAACCUCCUCCACAUUCUUCUGCUUGCAGAGUUCCAACAGCAACCCCUUGAUUUAAUUUACUUCAGACUUGAGAGUUUUCAGAUCAGCCACCUCCUUCUUGAGAUUCGCCAUAUCCACCCUGAACUCAUUUAGCUCCUCCAUAUCCAGAAUCGUCUCGUUGGAUCGGGUCUUAGUAACCAUCCAAUUUUUCUGCAAGAAAAGUUCAGGAACUAGUUCCCUCCCUUGUUUCCUCUUGCAGAAGUGUCUACCACCGCCUGGUUCAGAUCUGAGCUCCGGAGAUUUCACGGGAACACAACCUGAUGAACAGGAUGGUCCUCCAACCCUUGCUCCAAGAUCUGUUCCUCACUCUCGCCUCCGGAUUGAUUUCACCACGGCUCAGGGAUUUUACAGUGGAUCUCACCGCCACCUUCCACCAACCCUCACCUGAUGAAAUCAAGAGCCAAGAAUUCGUACUGCUCUGAUACCUCUGUCAGAUCCUAGGAGUAGAACAAAUUCAGAAAACGAGAUCACCAGAGCACAAUUUUCCCCUGAAGGUGGAUGCCGCAAGACUAUUCUAGGGUUCUAGAUAUUUUCUACUCCUAAAGAUAAAUGAUAUGGUGUUCGAUGCCUCUUUCAUUCAUUCUCCAAAGUAUUUAAGCUUACAAAGUGAGGACCACAGCUCACAUCACCAGAAUACAGCUCAUUCAGAGAAAAAGAGGAAAAAAACGACAUAAUAUGGGCCACAGUGGUCCCCGACAAUCAUCUACGGUUAGAUGUUGCUUGUAUCGCUUCGGAAUUAAUCCUGGCCGAAGGAUCUUCAUAGACGCAGGCUUUGCUUUCCCCUCUCCUUGAAUCGAUCAAUCUCUGAAAUUCUAACCGAACAACUGAAUCUUCAGACUUCCCCCUAUUCUGAUCCCAGGUCUAGACAUGACAGCCAAUCGAUUUAGCUAGUUUUCGUAUAAAGUUGAUUAUAAAAAAUUAUCGGCCUCCUCCCCUUUCCCCUUCCUCCUUCUCCUUCUCCAAGUCCAAUGAUGCGAAGCCCCUGCCCUAUUGGUCCUUUUUCGUCUCUGCUGGCUGCCGGGUCCAAGCUCAAGCAUUUUUUCUUUUACAAAAGAUCGAUCCGCCUAUAUAGCAAAACACAUAAAGACAGUGUUCUUAUAAGCUAAAAAGAAAACAAGCAGCUGGUUUAGCUAAGAGACUCCCAAGCUCGAGGGUGCAGUAGCAGUAGAGCAAGCAAAGCAGCAACAGUAUGCAUAUUAUUAGAUUAUGUACCGAAUAUACUAGUCCUACUAGAAGUUGUACUUAGAGUUGAAAUAGGUGUAGAAUUGUCACGAUCUAGGAUUAUGUGGAGAAGAAUCGGGAUGAAUGGGGAUAGAUUGGAUUAUAGUAGAUUAAAUAACAAUGAACGAUCCUGAACCUAAACGGCGCGACGCUCUCUGUCGCACUGAGAAGGUAGGCCGAUGGGCACUAAGAUAAAUCUUGAUCUAAUGCCUAACUGACCUGGGAUAGGAUACCUCCUUAUAUAGAUGGAGAACUAUUUAAUCUAAUCCUAGCAAACCUUAUCUAAUCCUAACAAACCCUAAUCCUAACAUUACUCCUGCCUUUUUGAGCAGCUCGUCCUCGAGCUGCAGCAUACACCUUGCUAUACUCAAACGAAGUACCAUAACCUAAACGAAGAUUCUCAAGCCUUUUACAUCUCAGCUUGUAAACAGCCGUAAAGAACUAAUACUGUUGUCAUCAUGGACAUAGACAGGAGAACCCCAUCCAGAACAGAAAAGUAGGCCCACGCCAAAAAAAAUCCAAAUCUGAAAGCCCAACUUGAUUGGCCAGCUGCUGAUCGAAGCCCAGUCCACCAGUCCGGCCCAUGUGACUUGCCCAGCUGAGUGAAGAAAAAGAGAAACCCUUGCUCCUCCUGUAGACAGCACCGCUUCCAACAACGAGCGCGAGAAGAGUGCCAUCCGCGAGAAAAUAAGCUGGUCCACGCCAAAAAAAAUCGCCCUCCCCCAAACUUCCUCAUGAAGUCGUCGCACAAUGGCCGUGCCCGCAAUUCGCAUCGCACGCAUGCCGCUCGGAGACCCACCGCACCAGCCAAUCCCGACGAAUGCGCCUAGAAAUUGGACACCCUCGUUGCCCACCCACCACAACAAAAAUCUCCACUUUCUCGUCCAUCUCUCUCGAGGGUAGCGACCGAGACAGCGCCACCGCUCUCGCUGCUGCCGGAAAAGGCGCCAUCUCUAGACCACAACUCCAAACCGUCCCUGCCGCUUCCGAAAACCACGCCGCCAUUCCUGCUCCUUCCGGAAACUGCGCCGUCUCAGUUGGAGGUGCCAGCGGCGGCAACAGCGCCAUCGGUAGGCCCAACAACUGAGUCGAAGACCGCUUGAGGGCAGCUUGGGCAGGGGAGGCAAUACCAUGGAUGCCUUCGUGCCGCCGACUACUGAUGGAUGGCCAAGAGGGGCUGCCACCUUUGGCUGCUGCUGCAGGCGACGCAUCCUGCUCCACGAGCGGCGCUUGAAGUCUUGCUGCCGUGGGCAUAGGAACAACACAGCCUGCCGGUCGGAUCACUCGGUGGCUCCGAGAGACAUGACUUGCUCAACUGAGUGAGCCGCCAAAGCCAGGAGGUGGGCCGCCAAAUCUAUCAUCUUCUUCGAAAUCUUGGCAAGGCCUUCACUGAUGUUGGGGACCGCAGCGAUCUCAGCACCCAUGGGCACGGAACCUGGCUCUGAUACCAAGUUGUCACGAUCUAGGAUUAUGUGGAGAAGAAUCGGGAUGAAUAGGGAUAGAUUGGAUUAUAGUAUAUGAAAUAACAAGGAACGGUCCUAAACCUAAACGGCGCGACGCUCUCUGUCACACUGAGAAGGCAGGCCGAUGGGCACUAAGAUAAAUCUUGAUCUAAUGCCUAACUGACCUGGGAUAGGAUCCCUCCUUAUAUAGAUGAAGGACUAAUUAAUCUAAUCCUAACAAACCUUAUCUAAUCCUAACAAACCCUAAUCCUAUCCAAUGAGUCUAGGACGCUAUUGACAGAAAACACGAGGCCUGGGAGAUCUGCUUAACUCCAGUGCAGGUCCAAAACUCGCCUUCGGGUGUGUAAGCGUGCCAGUUGAUUUGAUCCUGCAAUCAACAAGAAACAAAAACAAAGAAACCGCGAUUAAUCCUAUAAAUGAUAGCCGAUCGGCUAAGUGCCGAUGACAUAUCAUUUAUCUUUGAGCCGAUGUCAUAUAUGUAUCGAUCGGCAAUCAUGAAUAGAUAAGAAAGAACUAAAUCUACUCGAUCGGCUGUAGAUAUUAACAAUAUAUACUCCCUAUAUCGAUAUAUACUUAAACCAAGUGAUUGGGAUAGAUCGGACGCCAUGCCGAGACAGUAUAAAUCACUUAGAUCGAAAUAUAUAUUAAUAAUGGAAAUAUAUACGUUUAUAGCAUAGCCGAUCAGAUAGAUCUAGCAUGUAUCGGCUAAUACUCCGAUACUACUCUAUAUUAAGAUAUUAAAGCGAGUAAAAUAUAUCAAACAGAAGCCUAAUAUACUUAAAUGCAACAAGAUCUUAAUAUAAGGGGCGGAUUCAACAUGUCAAUUAAACAUAUAGAAUAAAAGUAGUUAAAUCAGGUAAGAUCGGCUGAAACCCCGAUACUACCCUAAUCGGCAACCAGAAGGCAGGCUAGAGAUUGAUAUUCUAAGCAUGACUUAAUAGAUCAAACUCAACUGAUGCAGCAUUAAGUAUGAAAAGAAGAACAAUAUCUAGACAAUCAAGCCGCUGGAAGUUUCAUAGAGUGGUAGAUAUCCUAUUCAAUCUACAUCAACAUCGAUAUUUAACCUAAUCAGCUGUAUUCUACCAACAGAUGUUAGCCGAUUGUAGGUUAGAUAACGAUAUUGCUAGAGAUUAUAUAAGAUAUAUGAUAACUCGACGGAUUACAUAAACAAGAUUAGAGUGUCAUAAAGAUGUAAGCACUAAUCCCGAGAACACAAACCGCCAUAACAAGUUUUACCUCUUGUUGAAGAUCGAAACCGAUGCAGCUCAACUCAAAAGCAAGAACUCGUCGAAACAAAACUAAAGCAAAAAGGGUGGCGAUGCGCCGAGAUUGUAUUGAACGUGUGUUAGUUUUUUACAUAAGACUCAGGGUCUAUUUAUACCCGAGGAUUACAAGAUAUGUGUCCAUACCGAACACGACUAUUAUCUCUAACAAACUCUAAGAUAUCAAAAGUCUUUACGGCAGACUUUUGCCCAAACAUAUCUCUAAGGAAAUUGCAUAGAAUAUCCUAAUUAAUAGAUACAAUUGCCUUCUCAGGACUCUAUCCCUACGUGGCAAUCACCAUGAAGCACAUUAACUCAACCCGAUGACGCACACCGAGUCGUACUGCCGGAAUCAACUGUAUCGGCUAGCCCUGUCCGACUUGAACUCUGCCGAUCCUGACCGUAGCCGAUUUGGAUUGCAGCCGAUUCUUACUCUGUUUCCGCAACAGCCCUUAUCUUCGAUUCCGCUUCGAUUCCAUCUUCUUCUCCAAUGCUGACACUACCAAAUUUGGUCGUUAACACAUGCCCCCCAAGUCCGGGAUAUUUGGUAAUGUUCCGGAUUUGCCGAAUACACCGAGUACGAGUAAAAAUCGCACUUGCCGUUUUCCGACCGUUACACAGUGCUUUAAAUACUAACCGCUGCCCCCGAGAAUCUUCACACCGUGACUUCUGUUUCCACCGCUUAAGCGAAUUCCGUCUUCUCUCUCUCUCCGGCGAUCUCCCCGACGCAUAAAGCGAUUUCUAGGCGAUUUCCUCUCCGGCCAGAUCUCCACCCGUGGCGAUAUCGACCUCCGCCGUUCCGUCUGCUGCGCCAUCAACCAGCCCAUCUGCUACACCAUCAGCCGAGUACGCAGAGGUAUGUAUCCAUUGGCUAGAUCCCCUUUUCCUAUACAGUAGAUUGAUUUUCUUCAUCUCAUCUUGUUUUCUUCUUCUCUACUUCUUCUGUACAUGUAGCAUCUUUCCAAUCUUGUUGCGGUUCCCAGUUUAUUGCAUGACCAACAAUACUUCCUCGGUCCAAUCGGCAAUCUUGACCCCACUGAAUUCGUCACAGCCAAAACCAAUAGAACCCCUUUUAGGUCAGCCAACCUAAGCAUGAGUCAUUGGAAAAACACAUUUAAAUCCUGGCCUUCUCUUGAGAAAAGCUGGCCUGUAUGGUACAAACGGAUAUCGGCUAGCAAGCAAGCUCAUUGGGAUGCGAUUGGAAUCGGCCAAGCCCUAGCCCUCACAAUAGCAAAUUCAGCCAAAGAUGAACCCCUGUUAGCUGCUGCCACUUAUUUUUGGUCCAACACCCUCAAUGCCUUCCUCUUCAACCAAGGGCCGAUGACCCCAACUCUGCUAGAUAUCAUCAUGCUCACUGGCCUAGAUGUGACCUCGUCGGCUAACCCCAUGAACUUGAAUACCAAGAACACCUUCGAGUUCAAGACUAAAAGCAUUGGAGGCUGGUCGGGAUAUAUUGCAGCAUACAUGGGCAAAGGACCAGUUACCCCCAGAGAGCAUGUGGCCUUCCUGUUGAUGUGGCUAGAAAAAUUCCUCUUCUGUGGGUCAAGCUGUGGCCCUACAACCAACUAGCAAUUCUUAGCCGAAGCCCUAGAAUCGAAGAAACAAUUUCCCUUGAGCAAGAUCCUUCUCGGCUAUCUAUACCAGAUGCUAAACAAUGCAUCAGCCAAAAUAAUCAUCGGCUCAGUAGUUGGGGCAGGUGGACCAUGGUGGUUAUUGCAAUCCUGGCUAAACCUGGUAGUCAUGAAAGUUGUCAAUCGGCCAUCUGUGACAGAAGCCAAAUUUCCAAGGUUAGAGCUGAUUGUGGAAGAUAGUGGAAAGGAACGCACUCAUCGCAGAUGCAUGUCAUACGGGGAGUAUGCAUCUACACCAGCCGAUGCAGGAGCAAAGCUAUCGGCUGAACUUCUGAAAGAUUGGUUUUUCAGUUUCUAUGAGGGAUUUCAGAAGGAUGCCCGAGUUUGGUUCUUUUAUGCCGACUCAAUGGAUCUUGAACUACCAGCCGAUUUCAGAUUCGAAGACAUUAAUCACGAAAAAUUUCAGCAAUCUAGAGAAGUCUUCACUACUGCCAUCAGCCCGUGUAUUCUCCCCGUUGGCAUCCAUCAAGGGAGAAAUAUCCAAGUCUCCUAUGAGUUCUAUCAUCCAAUGUCAUCGGCUAGACAACUCGGAAUGGGACAGCUGCCGAUCGGCUUGUACUUCGUCGACAAGAUCCAGUGUAGAGGUGACAUCUCUUCAACCUUAAUGAUGGAUCGGCUGCUGAACAUUCCUGGACCUCCAUUAGGCAACAUUGAGAACAUAAAGUUGGCAAGGUUCAGGAGCCGGGCAUUUGACAGAUGGUGGAGCGAAUGGAAGCUACACUUGUUCCAUCAAUCGGCUUCCAUGUAUAUGACAGAUCUAUUCCCCGAUGCCAUUCCUCAGGUAAAUCCUCACUUAAUAAAUCUUGUUUAAAUAAUUGACAGCCGAUUUGAACCUUGACUAACCUUUUCUUCUGAUUUGCAGACAACAGAAUCCUCUCCUCCUCGCCGGAGUAAUAGCGGCAAAGACAUUGAAUAUGCCCCGAGUCUAAUUCCAAAUGGAGGUGGGCGAUCUCCCUCUGCCAUCGGCUAUAAUGCCCCCAAGACUUCAGCGCUUCUUCAAGGGCUUAUCAGGCAACCAGCCGAUGCCGGCGAGAAACGAAAAACCAGAUCAUCGGCUGUGGAUACUUUAGCCCCAGCUUUAAAGAAGAAGACUAAGCCGAAGAAGUCUACGCCAGCUGAUGAUCUGCCUGCUCUAGAUCCAUCCAUUGAGCAAGCUCUGGAUGAAGAAGCAAUCGAGGAAGAUGUUGACCAAGCCGCAGCCGAAGUAAGCGAUACUGAAAGAACACCAUCGGCUUCACCUAAGCAGGCCCCUCCAAGUCCUUCUGUUCCAGCUCACUUUUCAAGAGUAAGCAGCUUUCAUCGAUUCCUUUUAUAGUCAUUCUACCUUAUAGCCGACUCCUCACAAUUUCAAUAAUUACAGAAAAAAAACUGCUGUGAGGAAGAGAUCGGCUGCGCCAACUCCCAAACCAGUUCCACUAGUAAUAUACUCUCAAUCCUCUCAUUAAUUAUGUCUAACAUUUGCCCUUUUUUCAGCCUCCUCCUCCUCCUUCACCUCCUGUGCAACCAGAAUCAGGCAAACGUACGCCAUCGGCUGCGGAUAGUCAUCAUGUGGAAGAAGAAGAACAAUUAACUGCCCCUGCUAUUCCAGUAAGUUUUAUAGACAUAAGUUUGAGAUCGGCCGAUCAUAUCUUGAUUCUUAACCAUCCAUGAUAUUAUUCCUUGCAGGUCUUAGCCGAUCUUUUCUCCUUCGACAUCAAGGAUUAUCUUGAUGAAACAGAAGAAGACACCACUAGCAAAGCAACAGCUCUUCUGCCUAACGAUGUGAAAAGAACACUUGAAGACAUCUCUCAUCGGCUAGGAGCAUCAUUAGACACAACCUGGUAACCAACUGUGGACCAAUCCGGGCAAGGUUCACAGACAUCCAAGCUCUUCUUCCGGAUGAAUUAGCCGACGCCCUUACUCCAGCCGUCUACCUUUAGCAACAUCAAUUCAAGUUGGAAAAGGCCAGGCAGAGAUUAGCCGAUCAUUGGGAGCGCAAAGAUAUCGAAGCUACAAUCCAGCACAAUCGGCAGCUUGUGCACAUAGAGAAGUCUAAGCUUGAUCAGCUGUCUGAGGGCCCGAUCAAAUCCAAUAUUGAUCGGCUUGAAGCUCGCAAAAUUGAACUCUUGGCACAACUUCAAGAAUGCAACGCCGAGCUGGAUAUAGAGCACAAGAAACUAGUCGAUCUCCCGCAAGCCGUUGAAGAACAAAAGGCAAAGCUGAAAUCGGCUAUCAAGAAUGUCGCUGAUAUGACUAAGUCCUUGAAAGUCAUCCCUGGAACCGAUGCUCAAGACACCCAAGCUAUUGAAGAAAUAGAACAAAUUAGGAAAAGGGCUAUACCGGCUAUCCAGUGAUAUGUGUCCCAGUGACAUUCUGUGUAACAAACUUUAGAAAACUUUUGUAAUCGGCUAACUUUUGUAACUUUGCUAUCUGUAUAUUCCUUGUGCCAAUUAACAUACUUUACAAAUAUGCUCAAAAUUUUGCGAUUUUCCAUGUAUAUGCCCCCCUAAUUUUACAAUGUCAAAAACAUUGAUAAAAUUAUAAAAAACAACUAAGGGCGAUAUAACCAUAUCUUAAUAUCUUAUGUCCUGAAGCAGCAUCAACCAACUGAUCGGCCACUAGCAUCGGAUAUUCGUCCUUCGGGGUAGCUUUAUUCAAAUCUCUAAAAUCAAUACAUACCCUCACCUUACCAUUUUUCUUGAUAACAUGAACUAUACUAGAAACCCAUUCAGCAUAUCGGCAAGGACAAAUAAAGCCAGCAUCAUACAAACGUUUGAUUUCAGCCUUGACAGGUUCAAGCAUAUCGGCUUUGCAUCUCCUCAGGGGCUGCUUGUGCGGUCUAAUCCCUGGUUUGAGAGGUAGCCGAUGUUCAACGAUUGAUCGGCAGAGUCCUGGCAUCUCAUGAUACUCCCAAGCGAAGCAGUCUCUAAAUUCUUUCAAAAGCUUUAUCAACUUGGUUCUAAAUUUUGAAGACAAAUUCUUACUAAUAAAUGUCGGCCUUGGUCGAUCACCUGGACCUAUAUCUAUUUCUUCUAAAUCAUCAACCGACAUGAAACCUUGACCUUGCUUGUCAUCAAGAUCAUCUACCGUAUCCUUGGUGUAGACAUUUGAACCCUCCACGAUGCCCUCAAAGUAAUAGCUUGGGUUCUCCAUCUUCAAUUGGCUAUAUAUCAGAAUCGGACACUUUUAGAAAAUCCCCAUCCCAAACCUUUCCAGAUAAACAAUCAAGGCCAUCCAUCUCCUCCAUUUUAUUGUCAUUCUCUACGAAGGGCGACUGCUUUGUGUAUGGUAAGCCUGUGCAUUGGACCAAGGAUUGUCCUGAUCGCAAGGACAAGAAGUCUGCAAACAUGGUUGUUAGCGAGGGCGGAGGAACAUCGGGGUACGGUAAAUCCUUACCUACAGUUCUCUGUGUUUGUCACUCUUCUGAUUGGUGGGUUGAUACUGGUGCUAAUAUUCAUGUGUGUGCUGACUUUUCCCUGUUUUCCUCUUAUCAGGUCGGGAGAGUGUUGACGGUCGUUAUUGAUCAGUUUCGACCGUCAAUAUUACUAAAAUAGAGGAGAACUAGUGAUUCUUGCAAUGCAUAUAUCUGUUAGAAUAAUAAACUUCUACUAGUAUUAGGUAUACUAACCUUUUGUAGAGAAUGACAAUAAAAUGGAGGAGAAUCGACAUCAACACAGACGACAAAUCAAUCGGACGAUGUCAAGAACCAGACUUAUGUAUGAAUGGGCCAAGAACUCAGAAUUAAUACAAAGAAUUGGGCCAAAAUUCACAAGUCUGCGAAUAGAAGUAACAGAGGAGGCCACCAGCCGAAAUUAGGCUGGAUUGGGCCGGCCCCAGGUUUGGCUGAACCAGGGGGUUCGGCCGAACCCUCCUCAGCGCCAUCCGAUCCAGGGCUUCGCCUGGACGGUGUGGAUUAGCCCCCAAUGACGGUUGGAGGGUAUUUCCGACCAUUCCAACCAUCACAACCGUCAUUGGGAGGCUAUAUAAGGAGUUGCCAUUCUCACUUCACUCACACACCUCAAGCAAUAGCUCUCUCAUUUCUCUCAAGUUUAGUUUAGUAGUAUCUAGCUGGUGGAAUAGGAAUAGAGUAGAAAUCAGGAGUCCGGAAGCCUUCGGAAGAGUUCGGGUAUGGCUCUAGCAGCUCUCCUUUACUCUUUUGUAAGCUUUGUACUUUUAUUAGAAUACUCUUCUAUAUACAUUUAUGGUAUUGAAAUACUUUCUGAGUAUACGAGUAUCUACUUUACAUUAUGUUCAUGUUAUACUGAAUAUACGGCUAGCUUAUCUGGGAGAUGCUUUGAUGCGGGUAUAAUGUUUGCUUAUGCAAUUAAUCUAUGUCAUGACGAUUAUAUUAGAGUAGUAUCUGGUAGUUUAGACGUGGUGUCUAGAUUACGGGAUAUCAUUAUUUGGGGUUAUAUAUUGCGGAUGAGAGGUGGGCCGCUGAUGGUGACAGCUCAGUACGGGUAUUCCUCCGCGCCGAUAUAUAAUCCUAACUUAAUUUCCUGGGGAGAUGAGGGUGGGAUUACACUUGCGCAAUCUCACUAUGUGGACAAGGUCUUGAGUCGCUUUGGUUACAAUGACUACAAGCCAGCUCCUAUUCCUUAUGAUCCCAAUGUGCUAUUAAGGAAAAACCAAAGGAUAGCAAGGAAUCAAAAUAUGCCAAAUUGUGACCAAAUUUCCAACUGUGAUAAUAAAAAGUGAUUAUCAAGGUGAACAGUUUGAAGGACAACAUGAAGUCAUCCAGGCCUGUGAAAAGAAGACUGAAAUCUGUCAGAAAGCAGAGAAACUCCGGAGUGAUAGCUUUGGACUAUGUCCAGACAGCUAAAAAUCUGGCAGAUCAGGUUACUAAGGGACUAUCACGCAAGUGAUAGACAGUGAAUCGAGGAAGAUGGGUUGAGCCCACUUUAGUUGUCAGUAGUGGUAACCUGUCUUUUGUGAUCGGAGAUCCCGUGAAUUAGGAUGGAGAAACAAACUAUUAGGUGACUGGGAGGAGAGACCCUGAAAUGGGCUCAUCUCUAUGAUGUAUUUCUCUCCUUGUCUGUAUGGAAGGAUGGUACACUACUAGAAAAACGAUUUUUCAUGGCGUUUAGAAAAUAUUUUUCAUGGCGGCUACAAGAAAAAACCGCCAACGUAGAAAAUAGGGAGGGUGGGGGGUCACGGGCCGCCAGCGAAAAUCAGUUUUCGCUGGCGGCCACAUUAAGAGGUCCGCCAUAAAAAAUACUAUAUUUUUCGAGGCGGACCCCUUAAAUGUCCGCCAGCGAAAAUUAGCGUUUUCACUGGCGGUUACUAAAAGAUCCGCCAGCAAAAAAAAAGGGAUCCGCCAGCAAAAAGCAAAGCUCGCUAAAAAAAUUUUCGUGGCAUUUAAAACCAUGCGCGCCAGAUCAAUUACUUCACCCACCCACACAUUUAAAACCAACUUUCACCCACCCACCCACUGCAUUCAUCUCUCCUCUCUAUCUCUUUCUCAUCUCCACCUCACCUCUCUCCCCUCCCCUCCCUCUCCCAGAUCUAGCCGGAGGGAGGGGGCGCCGGCCGCCGCGGCGGCGACGGCAAGUGGACCUGGUGGCCGGCGGCGUUCGGGCGUGGGCGGGGAGGCCGGAUCUGCCGCCGUCGUACGACGACGACGGGCCGGGCCGCGACAACGAUGACCACCACGGCGGCUGGUGACGACGACCACGGCGACCACGACGACGGGCCGUGGCUGCGGUGCCCGAGCGCCGCUGCCCGCCGCGACGACGACCACGACCCCGACAACGGGCUGGGGCGACGGGCCGGGGCGGUGACGACUACUUAGGUCGCGGUCACGCUCAAGACGUGGCAUGCGCAGCUCGCUGGCGCCACGGCCGUGCUGGUGGCGGACGGUGUCGACGAGCCGCUGCUCACGAUGGACAGCCCCGAGGAGGAGACCCCCGACAUGGCGUUCCUUCUCGUCGGCGCUCAUCACCAAGCAGUUCGGCGACGCCCUCCGCGCCGCCGCCGACGAGUUGGUGGUGCGGCUGGACUGGAGCGAGUCGAUGACGCACCCGAAUGAGCUCUGGACGAACAGCAACGAUGAGUGCGGGCCGCGGUGCGACGAGCAGGCGGCGUUCGUCGGUGCGUUCUGCGGCCACGCGCAGCUGCUGGAGGCCGCACUACAUCACCUGGUUCUGCCCCGACGCAUUCCUGGAGACGAGGCAGUGCAAGGCGCAGUGCAUCAACCGCGGCGGCUAUGGUAGGCGGGCGACGACGAUUUUGAUGUAUUGCUCCAUUUUAAUGUUUGUUUGUAUUGAUGUUUUCAUACAUGCAUGUAUUGAUGUUUAUUUGUUGAGAAUGAAGUAAGAAAUUGAUGUAGUGUUCUCUUGAGUUUGGAUCUGAUGUGGAUUUGAAUUGUUAUGGAUUUGAGAUUUGGGGAUGUGGAUUUGGGAAUGCAGGUAGCAGCAUGG